rnacentral:lncRNA from 1 species
UGCUUGUCAGGUUGCAACAGAAGAGUGAGAAUGAUGGCUGAUGGAGAAUUUAAAGUGCUGUUGGAAUCCUUUAUCAACAUUUCUUCCACUUAAUAAAAUUGCAAUUUGGCAUUUGAACUCAUGUCCUUCCAUAGCCUGCAUGUUUCUAAGUGAUGAUGUAGACUUCUUUUCUGGUUCUUCUUAUUUAAAUGAGUAUGGUUCACCUGUGUAUUCUUAGGAAAAAAAACUCUUUUUGGCUAAAUUUGUUGGUGAAAGAUUGUUCAUAGUUCAAGUGCUCCCCUUCUGAUACAUUAUCUGAACCAGGCGAGGGGGUGGCAAAAUAAGUGCUUGUGGAGGCAAUGGUUUGGCUGGCGGAGGUGGAGGACGUGUUUCCAUCGAUGUUUUCAGCAGGCAUGAUGAUGCCCAAAUCUUUGUUCAUGGUAAUUUACUUGGUUUUGUUUUGCGUUAGUGACUGCACAUUUUUAAACGGGCUACCUGUGUUUGAAUCAUUAUAUUGAAGUUAUUGACCCAUUUCUCUGCCACCGUCCUCCCUACCUUAUACAAUCUUACUUCCGGUCUGUUAUUCUAUAAGGCAGUUUAUGAGGUUAAGCUCUAAGUAUCAGUAAUCCGGUAUUGCCCAUAAUAGUUGGUAAACGGAGAGUACAUGAUCUUUUCAAGCUUCUUGAUCUACUGUUUUUAAAUUUGCCUUUUUCUUGAUCUACUAUUACUACUACUAUUAUGGUUACCAAUACCCUUUCACUUCCUCCUUGUGGUGCCCCUUGCUGGGUUUCAUCACUAGUUUAUCCCAAGUUUCUUGGGACUAAUUGGAUUUGUUGUUGUUGUUCUUGUACAGGGGGAAAGAGUUCAGGAUGCUUGGACAAUGCAGGAGCAGCUGGAACUCUUUAUGAAGAAGUGCCUAAGAGUAUUACUGUUAGCAAUGAUAACUUGAGCACACAAACUGAUACAGUUUUUCUAGAUCCCCCAUAUGAGCCACUCUGGACAAAUGUUCUUAUAAAAAAUCAUGCCAAAGUUUCUCUUCCCUUACGCUGGAGUCGUAUUCAGGUUGGAGGCUUACACCAUUAUCUUUAUCGAUAGUGUAGCCAAUACAAUUUUGCUGCAAGCAUUGCACUUGACAGGUCUUGGCUUUGUUUGUCCUUGAGUCUUUCAUAUCCAGCUAGGGGGCUUAUCUGUACUUUUCGUAACAAUUUAAACCACAAUAAUAUUCCCUCCAAUCGCAAAAAUUGGCAUUCUGGACAUGUACAUGAUCCCCAAAACAUAACAUUGACCAUCAUUUUCUACUAAAAUUAUAUGUUUAGAACAAAGAAAAGAAUGAUCUUGUGAAAGUUCUUGAGAUAUUUUACAAAUCUUUAUAUACUACCUCUGAUCAUAUUUAGAUGAUGUCUUGGACAGCAAAAAGCAACUAAUUACAAGUCAAGUUGUCCAAAAUGUCAUAUAAUUAUGGCCAGAGGUAGUACUAUUUUUCAUUUGACAGAUGUAAAUACAUAUUAAAAUAGUGAGAAGGUUGAACCUUUGAGUGCAUGCUCUCCAAAGUUUUUUUUUGGUGGCUGAAGGGAGUACAUCUGUAUGAGUUAGUGUUGCAUAUAUAACAAGUAGAUAAUGCACAUUGUCAUUGCUGGCUGGUGUGCUUGUUUUCUUUUCGAAAUAAGCAAAGUAUUACUGGUUGUUAGUGCGGUAUAAUUGGGUGAAAUGUGUUCUGAAUAUCAGUGGAUUUAUUAUUUCACUAAAUGUUUCUUCCCUUCUAUAUUAUCCUUUCUUAAUUGCUUUCUAUUUUCAGGCUCAAGGACAGAUUCUUUUAGCUGGUGCUACUCUAACUUUUGGCCUGACACAUUAUCCGUAUUCAGAAUUUGAGCUGUUGGCUGAGGAACUUCUUAUGAGUGAUUCCACAAUCAAGGUUCUUAUUUACUUUUGUUUCUCUGUUAUUUGCUGCACGUGUGGCAAUUAAUAUUCUGUAUGCUGUACUAACUCCAUUUUCAAUCAAAUUCAGGUCUUUGGUGCUUUACGAAUGUCAGUAAAAAUGCUCCUUAUGUGGAACUCGAGAAUGACUAUUGAUGGUGACAGAGAAUCAGGAGUAGCAACUUCACUACUAGAAGGUAGCAAUUUGAUAGUCCUGAAGGUAUGUUGGCAACUGUAAGGUGUGUUACAUCCGUUUCUGUCUGCCUUUACUGUAUGUGAUAUUUUUGUUCACAUGCUUGUCAGGAAUCAUCUGUGAUACAUUCAAAUGCUAAUCUUGGGAUUCAUGGUCAAGGCGUUCUAAAUUUAUCUGGUCAAGGAGAUACAAUAGAGGCACAACGCCUUAUAUUAUCACUGUUUUACAACAUAGUGGUAUGUUGAAUGCUUUUAGGUUUUGUUCAUUCACAAUCUAUCUGAAAUUAUUUUAUUUGUAUCAUGUUGCAUGCCCAUUGUGCCUUUCUUAGCACAUUUCUAUUGGUUUCUGAAGAGGUUGGAUAGUUUUUCUAUCUUUGACGUUAUUUAAAAUAAAAUUUGCCCUGUUACAAAGCUUCUGUCUGGAGACUUGAUCAUUGGUUUCCAUCCUUUUUUAUGCCAUUUUGCUGUUUCUCUUUUAGCCUGUGGUAUUCUUUGCUCUGGUAUUUCUUAUCUGAGUUCAAGAUGUUGAAUUUAGAUGGUUCAGGGUUUAAAAUUCUCCCGAGAGAAUCAUGUUGCUUUUCAUAACUGAAGCAAUCAAAAUUCUGUGUCUUGCUUUCUUUGGAUGGUGUGUGCUCGACUGCUGGUACAGUCAUAAUACGGGCAACACAGUUUUUGAUAUUUGUUUAACUGGUCCAGUUCAAUACUUCAUUGUUGCAGUUAGUAGAUUGUCUGAUGUCUGUUAGCCAUUUGAAGAAGAUUUAGUAAUUGAUAAGUAAUUUUUUUUUAGGUUGGACCUGGAGCUGUUCUAAGGGGCCCUCUUAUAAAUGGAAGUAUUGGCGAGAUGUAAUUUACCACCUUCAGAUUUGGUGUUAAUUGCUUUUUUUUAAUUGUUUUCCUCAUUGGUCAAUUGUUAAUAAGAUUUUGUGGCAACACCAGGGCACCAAAGCUGAACUGUGAAGAUGAGAGUUGCCCUAUGGAAAUUUUUCAUCCACCUGAGGAUUGCAACUUGAACUCUUCAUUGUCUUUUACUUUACAGGUGUGCUUUAAUUCUCCUAAUCUGUAGAGUCUCCCAAGCUGUAGCGUCUCCCAAGUUGUGAUGUUUUAUCUACUUAUUUUAGAGUAGAAUGCCUUUGCGGUAUUGUCCCAUGGUGUCAUCCAGGUCUCUGAACUCUAAAAAUAUAAAAUGCAUAUUUGGGUCUCCAAACUUGUAAGUGUGCCAUGCAAGGUCCAUAUCCCACUAACCAAAAUGAACCUUCCUAUGUUCAUGCUGAUUUGAGUAUUUGACAACUCUUGAGGCAUGCCAAAUUGGCAAGUUCAUGUUGGUUAGGAAGAUUUUGACCUUGAGUGGUUCAUUUAACAAGUUUAGGGACUCAAAUAUGCAUUUAACUUAAGGCCUACUUUUUGGCAGCUCCCGCUACUCCACAUCAAAUCAAGAUUUUGUAUGCUAAUUAAAUUUCUGUUUUUUAGUCUAAAGUAUAAACAAAUUGCUUUGCCCAAACAUCCUUGACGUUCCCCCAGCUUAACCUCCAUGGAUUCUUGGAGCUAGAGGUACCCAGCUCCAAGAGGAGCUGGAGCUCUGCCAAACAGGACCUAAGGGUUUAGGGACCUGGAUGACACCGUGGGAUAAGCUUGAGGACUACUGGUGCAUUUCACUCUUCAUUUGGUUUCCUAAAUUUCCUCUCUUUUUUGUGAGGAUAUUGCCUUUUAGUUUUACUUGUAAUCCAUGGUGGCUUUUGGCAUGCAGAUAUGCCGCGUUGAAGAUAUUGAUGUUUCCGGCCUUGUGCAAGGAACUGUUAUUAAUUUUAACAGAGCAAGAAGUGUCACUGUGCAGACAUCUGGGACCAUAAGUGCAACAGGAUUAGGUAUCCUAUCAUUGUUUUGUUGGUCUGAGAACCAGAAAGUUAGGAUAUCAUGUUCUGUUGACCACCUAGCAUGCACAAUGCCAUAAGCCAGAUAACAUACUUUUGCUAUAGACAAGUUUGGAAAAGUUCCAUGAUAAGAUUUUCAGUUACUUGGUUAUUGUCACUUAUCAUAAUCUGCUUACUUAUUUGAGUCUGUACUGCAUUAUGGGCCUUAAAUUAGAGGAUGCCUGUCUAUUCUCUCCACACUUUGUUAUACUAUAAUUAAAUAUUUACGUAGGCAUUUUGAAUAGCUACAUUGGCUGUGCUAUAGUUUUUUUUAAAAAAAAUUAGACCCGCAUAUAUCCAAUGAUUCAGUUAAGGUGCUGAAUGGUCUUUACUACCAGUAGUCCCUGCAGAUUAUAUAGGUAUACUUCAUGACAGGUCCUACAACUUAGUACUUUCACUCUUGCGUUAAUUUUUCAUUAUUAAACACCGGGGUUUCCAAAAGGUAAUUCUUUUCAAUAAGUAGGUUUAAUGUACUAGAUUUGACUGACAAUCUAACAUCAAUCAAGCACACAAUCCUUGAACUGUUCAAGGAUAACAUAAUUCUUAAAGUUGUAUCAGACUAUGGUUGUUUUGCUUGUGUUGCUUUCAGUUUACUUAAUGAAAUAUUGAUUAUUUUGUUAAUAUUUCAAACUUUUUGUAGCAAACUAUGCAUGGUCCAAAUUUCGCAGUUAUGCACUGAAAUAUUCCCUCUAUUGUUUUUUGUUAAUGUGUUCGUUUUUGCUUGUCUUGUAAUUUCAAGGAAUUUUAGUGGGAUUAAUCGCCGAAUAUAUUGUUAUGAAUAAUGCUUGUAUUGAAUCGUAGCUCCAUGGGGGCUAUUUUUUAAAUGUAUUUUUUUUUGCAAGCCUUGCAGUCCUAAAGAUCUUUUAUGAGACUAAUCACUGAUUAUAUUGUGAUAAAUAGCGCUUCUAUUGAACUACAAUUUCAUGACUAUUGCCCAUUCAUGACCAGUUGGGUCCACAUGUCAGCAACAUAUUCAUCAAAGUUGUCAUGUGGGCGAGCUGGCCAUGGAUUCAGUAGGUUUGUGAAAUUUGCUCUGUAUAAGUAUGAAUAAUGAACUAACCUUGUUUUGUGGCUGUCUGAUCUGAGAUAAGUCCAGCAGUUUCCCUUUCCCAAUCCCCUUUCCCUAUAUUCUGCCAUGAAGGGGGAUCAAGGGGAAAGAUGAUGCUCCACCAGAUCCACUUUCCCUUCUUUUGUCACUGCUUGACCCACUGAGAAGGAAAAAAUAGAUUGACCCACUGACAGGAUAUCAGGAGAUAUUGGGGAUGAGGUUGUUGGGGAACUGUUGCAGCACCCAUCCCCUAUAUGCUGAAAUGGUUACUGGGGAGUUCUCUCUAACAAGUUAUUGGGGAUUGGUGAAAGGGGGAUGCUCUAAGCUAGCUUAAUUCAAUAUCUACUGGCUGAGGGAUAUGGUUGAAUAGAUUAUUGGAAUUUGAUGCAUACAUGUAUUGCAGUUUAGUGGUUCUUUUUCUUUAUUCACAUAACUUUUGCCAGCUAUUUUGGAAUUUAAGUUCCUUCCGUUUCCAGGCUGCCAGGGUGGAAUUGGACAAGGGAAAAUGUUAAGCAGUGGGAUUAGUGGUGGGGGUGGGCAUGGUGGUAAAGGCGGUGAUGGCAUUUACAGUGGUGAUCAUGCAGAGGGUGGACCUGCAUAUGGUCAUGCUGAUUUACCUUGUGAACUUGGCAGCGGCAGCGGCAAUGUCAGUGCAUCUUCAACGGCUGGUGGUGGUAUAAUAGGUAUCAAAUAUUGUAUAUAUAUCAUUUUUGCCCUCUGUUCAGUCAUCGUACCUCUUAAUAGCACUGCUAUUGUGCAAUUUUUUAGUGAUGGGUUCUCUGGAGCAAUCUCUGCCAAACCUCUCCCUUUCUGGCUCAAUUGAGGCAAAUGGUGGUAGUUUUACUGGCUUGGCAUCUCAUGCCACAAUUGGAGGACCUGGUGGUGGUUCUGGUGGUACAAUUCUUCUUUUUGUGCGGACUUUACUCCUAAAGGAGGACUCUGUACUCUCAAGUGUCGGUGGGAUUGGAAACAAUGGCAGUGGUGGAGGUGGAGGGGGUCGGAUUCACUUUCACUGGUCCGAUAUUCCCACUGGAGAUGAUUAUGUUCCUUUUGCAACUGUUAAGGGAACAAUACUUACAAGGUGUGUUUAAUUCUGAUGCAGUCUGUCAGCCCCUUCUUGUUUUGAAUUAUGAAGGCAUGUUUAGUACAGUUUCAGUAUUUAUAGAAUCAUAGGAUAGUGAGACUGGGAGGGAACAGGAAGGCAGAAUCAUUGUUCACUUUUAAGUUGAUUUUUCAGUCCUUUGGUUUUUCACCUCCAGUAUAAAUCUAUCAUUUUGCUUUCUCUUGUUAUUGCCUUUUUCAUCCAUUCCACAUCCUAGUAUCUGCCUUCUUUUCAUUUUUGUUUUGAACACCUGGGCUCCAUAAAUUUUGGAGUAUGUGCUUUCAUCGACUCCAGUUAGCAUGUGAGGUAAAUCCUGCAUGUUCGAGAAAAAAUCAACUGUGGUUGAGAGGCCGCCUGCCCUGGCUUGAACUGCAAUGCUUGUAGGUCAUGUGAGUACCUCCCUGAGGCCUUGUUUGGUUUGAAGGGGAUUGGGAGGGAUUAAAUCCCCUACAAGUCAAAAUCCCCCUCAAUCCCCUUGUGAAGGGGAUUAACCGAACAAGGCCUGAAGGGUUUGGUUCCCCCUGCUCUUAAGAUAAAGCCAGGGAGUGUCUUCUCCCAGUCCCAGUGAUCUCUUUUGAAUCUGUGUUUUUUUAUUGUAUUUUAUUGUUAAAAAUGUUGAUGCCUUAAGGGCCUUCAAUCUUUUUUUCCUCGUAUCGCUAAAUUGCUGAGCUGACCAUUUGUUUCUGUUAUAGAGGAGGAGUCAGUGAAGGCCAUGGUUUUCCUGGUGAGAAUGGAACAGUCACAGGAAAGGAUUGCCCAAAAGGUCUUUAUGGAACAUUUUGCAAGGUAACUUGUGAGACAUCAGAUGUGCUGCCUUACCUCCUUUGAGCCAAAUCAUAUAAUGUGUUACAUUCAGAAGAUUGGUUCCCUGUUUUAGUUUCUUGUGUAUCAGGGACACAAUCCAAUGUAUGGCAAGCUUUUGUGCUUUGCUAUUUUUUAAUAUAACUUGGAGAAUGGCCAUAGCUUUGUGGUGAGAUAGCUCAGUAGGUUAGUGUCAUUGAGACUGCUGUUAUUAUUAUUACUAAUACCUCUUUUUGCUUUUUCUGUCCCUUUUCUGUGACUCUUGUUGGGUUUCAUCUCUAGCCAAAAUGGUCUUGUUAACUAAAAGGCCGUGUUGUAGUUUACUAUCCAUAUUUGUACAAUCAUGUCAUGAACAUACACUUAUCAACCUGGCAGAAACCCUCGAUUAUACCUCUAGUUUUUAGUUUAUCUGGCUUGUGCUACUUCUACUUACACUGUCACAAUGCUUUCCGUGGCAAAAUGCAGGAAUGUCCUUCAGGAACAUACAAGAAUAUUACUGGAUCAUCUAAGUCCUUGUGCUCACCAUGCCCUCCAAAUGAGCUACCUCGCCGUGCUGUAUACAUAAGCGUCCGAGGUAGUUCAUGCUAUGUUUUCUGCCUGUUUGAGAAACAUUAAUCUAAACUGCAGAUCGAGCUCAAGUCUUAUAAGUAGCAGACCAGAACUAUAUCCUUUUGAUUUCUGACAUACAUAUAUCUGUGGAGUCUGUUUUUCUAAAUUUUCUGUAGUGUCACAGGGAUUUUUUUUCAUGCACUUCUUGUCUUGUAGGCGUGCCUGUAAAGAAACCUUCGAAUGGUGUCCUCCGCUUUUCUUAAAUCAUGUUAGAUAAUAUGAAAUGGUGUUAGGCUGGGCCUCACUUGUAUAUAUUUUUUGUUCUUGUGUGUGGUUAUUUCUGGUUAUUUUGAUUCCAUUUCGAAUUUUGCUGUUUCAGAACCUUUUCGUCAACUAUGAAAGAUUUGUCAGUUUGCCUGAGUGUUCUAAACUUAGCAAUAUGUUUUUGACAGGAGGUGUUGCUGAAACCCCAUGCCCAUACAAAUGUGUGUCUGAUAGAUAUCGCAUGCCUCACUGUUUUACUGCUCUUGAAGAGCUGAUAUAUACGUUUGGUGGACCUUGGUUGUUUGGCCUGCUUCUUUCUGGCCUUCUUGUCUUAUUAGCUCUUGUUUUGAGUAUUGCUCGGAUGAAGUUUGUUGGUACUGAUGAGUUGCCUGGGCCAGCACCGACUCAGCACAGUUCCCAAAUUGAUCACUCUUUUCCCUUCCUUGAAUCACUGAACGAGGUUGUGAAAUUCAUUCUGUCCGACUGAUUCAAUACCUUAUUAAGCUGUGGUGCGAUCAUUUUCAGUGUCACUGAAUUUCUGCUAAUGGGGCAGGUAUUGGAAACAAACAGGGCAGAAGAAUCUCACUGUCAUGUGCACAGGAUGUAUUUCAUGGGCCCAAACACCUUCAGUGAGCCUUGGCAUCUCCCACACACCCCACCAGAGCAAAUUUCAGAGAUUGUGUAUGUGUGCCCAUCCUCUUUUCAAGUUCUACCCGUUUGUUGUUUGUUUUCAAUUCUUUACUUAUUUCUUUCUUGUAUCCAAGUUUUACCUGAUCCCUGAAUGUCCUCUUUGACUCUUUUUUUCAGGUAUGAGGAUGCAUUUAACAAAUUUGUUGAUGAGAUAAAUGCUCUUGCAGCCUAUCAAUGGUGGGAGGGUUCAGUUUAUAGUAUUCUCUGUAUACUUUCAUAUCCCCUGGCAUGGUCCUGGCAACAGUGGCGCAGGAGAAAGAAAUUACAGAAACUAUGUGAAUUUGUUCGAUCCGAAUAUGAUCAUUCAUGCUUACGGUCCUGCCGUUCACGUGCACUUUAUGAAGGGCUGAAGGUAUAUAUUGUUUUCUGCUUUAUUUGCAGAUCUUUUCCAAUAUUUCAAUUUCAUGGUUGCAUUAUGCCUGGAAAAAAUUGCAACUGUGUGUGGUUGUGCAUUACCUGCAACUUAAUUAGUAUCAAAAAGCAUAGGUUGCAUUCUUACUCUUGCCGAUUGUCAUACGGGUGCCUGUCUCAUCAUGGAUAGAUAAUUUCUGAUUUUCAAAUUUGUAGGUAGCUGCUACUCCAGAUUUAAUGCUGGGUUAUUUAGAUUUCUUCCUUGGUGGCGAUGAGAAAAGGACUGAUCUUCCCCCUCGACUUCAUCAAAGGUUUCCAAUGUCCCUCAUCUUUGGAGGUGAUGGAAGUUAUAUGGCUCCAUUUUCACUUCAUAGUGACAGAGUGGUUACAAGUCUUAUAAGUCAGGUUGAUUCUGAAACAUUUCAGAUUGUACUGAAUUGCUGAAUUAAACCAAUUAUUCUCUUAACUUAUUGAUAUCUUUUAUAGGCUGUACCAUCGUCAAUAUGGCAUCGUCUUGUAGCUGGAUUGAAUGCCCAGUUGCGUUUGGUUCGUCGUGGAAAUCUAAACACAACAUUUCUUCCUGUGCUCAAAUGGCUUGAAACUCACGCAAAUCCUGCAUUGAACACGUACCAUGUGCGUGUUGACCUUGCAUGGUUCCAAACUACAGCAUUAGGUUACUGUCAGUUUGGUCUUGUUCUUCAUGCUGUGGGGGGACCGGUGGCUGCUGAACUUCAAGGUGACUCUGUAAUUAUAACCGAGCAGCAUUCAGUGUGAGUCAUUUCUUACCUGCCUGAGCAGUUGUAUUCUUUCCCUCUGAUUGACAUCUGUCCCUAAUCACUUCCCCUAUAUCGUACAGAAACCAGAAUACAUAUGCUGAUUCUCAGUUGAGCCACUCAAGGAUCAACGAUGCUCUUUUGUGUAAAAGGAUAACUGGCACCGUUCUCAAUGUUGAAAACUUAAAGAUGCUCAAAGACAGGAGAGAUUUGUUUUACCCUCUCUCUCUUAUCUUGCACAAUACAAAACCAGUUGGACAUCAGGUGACACUGCCAUUUUCACAGAUAUAGUAACUUAGCUAUAGUGUGCAUAUGACGAGACUUGCUGCAUCUUGCACUCACCAUGGUUCUUUUGCUUUGAACUGCAGGACCUCGUUGGCCUAGUCAUCUCAAUAUUGCUUCUUGCAGAUUUCAGCUUAGUCUUGCUUACUUUCCUCCAACUAUAUUCAUAUUCCAUGGUCGAUGUUUUAUUAGUCUUGUUCAUUCUUCCUCUUGGGAUACUGGCACCGUUUCCCGCUGGGAUAAAUGCUCUUUUUAGUCAUGGACCGCGGCGGUCAGCUGGCCUUGCUCGUGUGUAUGCCUUAUGGAAUAUUACAUCACUGGUCAAUGUUGUAAGUAUUCAUCCAUCCUUGCCUGCAUCUGGAUUUUUCUUUUACAAGCUCAUCAAGUUGUUUAGGUUCAGAAUCAUGGCAGUUAUGUAGUAUCAUUGCUAUCGGCUAUAACAUUUAUUGGGAUUACAUAUUGCCAUUAAGAAUUCAAGCAUGCACCAUCUGACCAUGAUGUACUUUUUACAUAAACAGAAGAUAGAGCAUGAGCACACAGAACAUUAUUCCUACCCCCAGCUUAUCAUGUAAAACUCAGCAGUAGACAGUAGUGCCCUUUUUUUCCAGUGGUUUGUCCGGAGAGAAAAGAUGCUGAGAGAACAUGUGAUCCAGUUGGGUUUUUUUUUUGAACUUUUGAUGAUCUCCCCCAUUUGAAUAAUAUUUGCAAUUACUAUGCAUGUGUAUGUUGUACAUUUUUCAUGUCGAGGGUGCCUACUGACUUUCUUCAGAGUAGCUAGUUAAGUACAGUACCAUGUUUAACCUACAAGUGCACAUUGCUCGCAGGCUGUGGCUUUUGUAUGUGGUUUUCUGCAUUAUAAGUCAUCAAACAAGAAACAUUCAAGCAUGCAGCCAUGGAAUUUGGGCGGGUAAGCAUCUUUUUCCUUCCUGCUAAGAGGUGGCAACUGAACGCCAUUCAUACCUGAAUAACCUUUGACCUAAGAACCUUAACCUCGAAACUCUUGGCAGGGAUGAAACCAGCUGGUGGCUAUUCCCAACAGGACUUGUGCUAUGCAAAUGCAUUCAAGCAAGGCUUGUUGAUUGGCAUGUAUCAAUCUUAGAGAUCCAGGACCGCGCAGUUUAUAGCAAUGACCCAACAAUAUUUUGGCAGUGACAGCAUUUUGGAUCACAGGAGUGCUCAUGAUGGGAGCUUUACACAACUCAAGUUUUUUGGGAGUUGAUGAAAAGAAGACUAGGAAGAGUCCGUUCUUUGUCGGCCAGUCAGGGGAAGCAUGUACAAAGUAGAAUGCUUACAGAUGCCUGCCUAUAGACUUAUAGUGCAUCGUUGACCUUUUGUCCAGUUACUCACCCAUCUUUAUUUUCCUUGUACAUAGGAAAAGGGUUUAGUUGAUCCAUUCAUUGUAGGAUUUAGGAUUUAGAUACCAUAGAAUUAUAAUUUUACCUAAGCUAAUUUCAAUAGAUAGUGGGAAAUAUCUUUCUUUUUUUGGUUGAAAGCGUUCUCGUGGUAUUUUACAUUUGAUGUUUUGCUGCAAAAGGGGUGACCAUCAAAUAUGACGGUUACUCCCUCGCCCCCGCCAACAAGAAAAAAAAAAUGUAUGAAAAGAUGCAGGUUGGACCAUUUUGUUGGAAGUAUGCUGAUGUUUAUUGAAGCUCUGGCAUAUGUUGCUGUGGCUAUCCCUCUUCAACGGAAAAUUCAGUGUGCUGCUAAGAGCCCAUGAUGUAGUACCAGAAGUGGGAAUAUUUUCAGUUGGUAACGGGCGUAACAGGUAUCGUUGGGUCAAAAUUUAAUGUUUAGUCAUUUCUGUGAAUUCUGGCCAUUGUUUUUUUAAAUCAUUUGAACACUUCGUGCAGUAAACCGGAGGUAAAAGUUAAAAUAUAUACUGGUAUCCUCGGCAAAUCUACCAUUGCUAUGGUGAUGGAUGGUGGAGAUGCAUAUUCUCAUAUGCCGUAGUUAAGGUUGAGCGAGAACGGGGAUGCCGUAGUUAAGGAUGAGAGAAGGAAGAUGCCGUAGAGAAAUGGAGAAGAGAGGCGUGUUGUCCAAAACAAUGUGUUUUGUGCUAUUCUUUUAAAUUUGUAAUUAGAAAUGCAAAUUAUGCUGGACUAGCACCAAACUUGUUGGGUUUAUGGCCAACCCCAUGAUCGGUGGUCAUUUUCACUAGUUCCGGCUAUUCCCACGUCUCAUCCUUGAACCCCUUAGGCUGUUUUCGACCUCUCAAGGGCAGCACACGGUUUUAUGGUCGAACAUGUGUCCCAUGGCUAUUUUCACGUCUUUCGACUGUAUUCACGUCUCCAUCCUCAAACCCUCCCAGGUUGUUUUCAUUCUCCUCCCAGGUUGUUUUCAUUCUCCUGAGAGGUGUAGCACAUGAUUUCUUGGCCGAACACGUGUCUGAUGGGCAUUUUCACAUGUUUCGGCUAUCGCCCACAUCUCCAUCCCUAGACCUCCGCCGGGCUGUUUUCAGCCUCCUAUGGGCUAUAGCACACGAUUUCAUAGCCGAACAUAUAUUCGGUGGCCAUUUUGAUGUGUUCAGCUUAUUCCCACGUUUCUAUCCCCGAAGCCCAUUCUAGUCGUUUCCCUUGGUUGCUUGACGAACAGGUGUUCUGUCCACUCUUCACGUGUUUCGACCAUCUUCCAUGUUUCCGUACCCGGAUACCUUCCGUACCAUUUCCCCGCCUCUCGUGGGCUAUACCAUUUCCCCGCCUCUCGUGGGCUAUAGCAUAAGCUUUCUUUGACAUGCAAGCUGGUUUGAGCAUUUGGUUACUGAAGCACAUAUUUGACGGAGUUUGACAGGUAUAUAGAUUCAGUAGUGUUUUGGUAGAAUCUCAGUUUGAGGGGUCAAACAUAUAUACUUAUUUUGGCUUAAACUUGGGCAAAUCAUAGGAACUCGUUGAUCUACAUUUACCAAUUCUGAGAGCAUUUUGGAUCUAUGCUUUGAUCGAUGGAUAUAACAGUCCACCUGUUACAUCUUGCUUUAGUGUUAUCGCUAUUACUAUUGUAUCAAGGGUGUGGUUACCUCUUUGGUAUCAUUGUUCUUGCGAUGUACAUCCAUAUUGCCCCAUGGUUUUUACUUCUGUUUGAAGGGGGGGUUGACUCUGCAUAUGUUAAUCUUCACAUGGUACCCACGCAGGCAGUUCAAAACUUCCAAGUUCCAACCGCUCAAAAAUUAUAGCUGUCGAUGUGUCAAUUAUUUUGUCAGACACGCAAAGCAUGUUUGUUUCUUUAGCACCUCCUAAAAUUCCUGUCACAUCGAAUAUUUAGAUACUAAUUAGGAGUAUUAAAUAUAGGCUAAUUACAAAACCAAUUGCACAGAUGGAGACUAAUUUGCGAGACGAAUCUAUUAAGCCUAAUUAGUCCAUGAUUUGACAAUGUGAUGCUACAGUAAACAUGUGCUAAUGAUGGAUUAAUUAGACUUUAUAGAUUCAUCUCGUGAAUUAGUCUCCAUCUAUAUAUAAUUAGUUUUAUAAUUAGCUCAUGUUUAGUCCUCCUAGUUAGCCUCCAAAUAUUCGAUGUGACAUGAAUUAACGCAUCAGGUCCCUUUCCCCAUGUGAACACGAGGAUCAACCAGCAACGGCCAGUCCAGCAGUCCGCUCGAACAAAACAGCACACGCGUCCUCGCUCGUAGCCGCUGCGUGCUUGGCGUGGUCUGACCGGCGGGAUCUCGAGAGAUGCGUCGAUCUCCCAACCGCCAAUCAGCCCAGUUGCCACCACCCUUCACGUUCGUCUCCUCGUCGCCAUAUGAAUCCCACCGUCCACUCGCGUGCGAAAUUAAACGCGAAGUGGACGGCGACGGCGAGGUCUGGCCACUGAGGCCGUGGAAGGUUAGGUUGGAAGGGGGGAAUUUCGCUGUGCAGUUGCCCGGUAACAACUGUGUGUUGGAUCAGCAAGAAAGGGACGGGAGAAGGCGAAAAGGAGAGGCCAAGAACCCCGAAUAAAGAAAGGCGAAAGGUGGCCGGCACUGUGGCGCAAGCGGACGAUGUGUCGUCUCUCCUGUUGCUCUCGCUGAAGGAGGAGACGGGCCAAGAAGCUUGCAGAUUCCGGCGUCGCUUGGAGUUUGUCCUGGCCUGCGUUUUGGUUUGAGGGGCAAGAACAGGCCAAAGCGCAGACGGAACAACCUGAAAAAGUGAGGAGAGGGAGCCCCCAAUUUUGUCCUGCUUGCUGCUUCUGCUUAUUCUCCUACUCUUCCUCCUCUCUCUCCCUUGACCUUCUUUUGUUGGUUGCGAGCUGAAUUCGGAGCGUGCCAGCCUAAUUUUAGCCGAACCGGAGAUUGCCAUGGGACGGAUUCUUCAGGGGUAGCUUCGGUUGGUUGCUAGGCUGGGCUCUUCCCCCCAGUCUGUUCGAUUCGACGCCAUGGAGGUCUAGCCGGCCACUUGCAGGUGCCGGAGCUCGCGUUUCCUGACGCGCGCUUUCUGGCGUUCUGCAAGAAUCUCAUCCCUCCAAGAGCAGAUUCUUCACCCACAACCUUGUUGUUGGAGUUGGAGCCCAAUUUUUUUUUUUUUUUGAAUUUGGCACGGCUCCGCCCCUCGCGGCGCAAAAGGAUGCUCCUUUCGUGACCGGCAAGGUUGGAUUCUCAUCACCUUCGUGGCUGUCGAUUGGGUUCUGAUGUUCUUGGCGAGGUAGGCGGCGUCAGAUGCCCAAGCCUGGAGGUUGCAGCAGCAGCAGCAGCGGCCGCGGAGGGAGUGGUGGUGGUGGGCCGAGCGGCGGGGACGCCAAGGACUUGCCGCAGCUUUUGCUCAGGGUGGGCGUCGCCGUCACGCUCUCCGUCGCUGGGCUGCUCUUCUCGCGGCGCCAGCGGCCGCCCCGGCAGCUCCUGCUGCCACCCCCUCCUCCUCCCUCAGGUAUCAGCCAUGAGCAGAUUUGUAGCGCCUGUGAAGAUGGCGCAUCGAUUGUCAAUUGUGCUUUUGUGCUGUGGUACAUGAAAUUUGGUGAUGAUGUGCAUGUGUGUUUGUGAUUGUAGAGUCGGAUGAUGCCCCAAGCAUGAAGGCCAGAACAGGGCUCAAGGAGCUGAGGAUCCUCAAAAAUGUAAGGAUUUGGAUUUUGAAUAAUUGAAUUUCAUGGUUUACUUGUAAUUCAUAGUUCUGAAGAUUCAACCACCCUUUAAAAUUUGUCCAUGUUCGUGCGUAGUAUUUGUGGCUUUUGAUGAAAACUUUUAUUUUUUUUAAUGCUUAAAUUUUUUUGGUUCUAAAUACUGGUGUUUUGAUCUUCUCUUAAGUGAUUAAACUCAUUUUACACUGCUAGGUGAUGUUUAUAUCGCCUAAAACAUUAUCAUAACAGAUGACCCUUUCAUUGCACACUUCUUUCAAAUGGUAUCUUGUGAAACAAGGUUAAGUUUUCGAUUUUGCAGUACAAGUACAACACGCAUGAAUGUAGUUUGUCUUCGAUAAAACACGACUUGACUUCUGAUUGACCAUUCAUGUUUGAUUUUGCAUAUUAUUCCUAUUGAAUUGAACGAGUGUGUAAAAAUGCCCAUGUUGACAUGUUGACCUUUUUUCUGUUUGUCAAGGAGGACACCAGGGCAAAAAUCAUCAGUGGAAACUCUGUUCACACAACCACUACAACCACAACGACCACCACCACAGCCUUAGUGCCAUUGGCCCCCAAAUGCAGAAGCAUUGCCGAUGAUGAAGGAUACCUCCUUCCAGAGUUCAAUGAAAUGGUUCUCAAAGAAUUUUGCCGAGACAUAGACAGUAUCCCAACCACACCUGCAGCAAGAGUAAGGGAAGAUGUAUCUAAUGACCAUGAAAUCCACAAGCUUAGAGAUUUGGUGAGAUCCCUGCAAGAAAGGGAGAAGACCCUGGAGCUACAGCUUCUGGAGUAUUACGGUUUACAGGAGCAAGAUGCCGCAGUGAGGGAGCUUGAGAAUCAGCUGAAGAUUAACAAUGUCGAAUCCAAGCUGUACUCAUUGAAGGUCGAAUCUUUACAGUCUGAAAACCAGGAGCUGCAAGCACAGUUGUCAGAGAACUCAAAGAUAAUCUCUGAGCUUGAGGCGACAAGAGCGAAGUGCAAGUUGCUAAAGAAGAAGUUGGCAUUGGAUGCAGAACAGUCAAAGGAGAAAGUGACUUCCCUUCAGAAAACAGUCGAUUCAUUGCAGCACAAAGAGACUGAUGAGGUGAACAAUCAUAUUGAGGUUGAGAAUAAAUUGAAGAGGCUAGAGGAGCUGGAAAAGGAGGCAACAGAGCUUAGAGCUACGAAUUCAAGGCUGCAGCAGGAGAAUGCACAUCUUAUUAGGAGACUGGAGCUUACACGCCUACCCCCUGUACCCAAGCCUAAAAAUAGCAUGGAGGUGAUUCUUUACUGUUCUUGGACUUUAUUGUAGCUGGCACUUACUAAAUCAAUUUUAAUCCUUGGAGUGGUCAUUCCUAAGUACGACAUGGUGUUCUCAAUAUUUCUUUUGCAAAUGAGACGAAGUCACAUAAUUCUACCACAAAAUAAUUUUUUAUGUUAGUUUAAAGUUCAUUGUGUUCUUGAUAUUUUGUUGUUCCCUCAUGAAUUCAAUAACCUAUAAUGUCUUCAGGUAAAAGCAUUGGAGGAGGCUGAUCGGUUGAAGCAAGAAAACGAGAAGUUGGCUAAAGAGAUUGAACAACUGCAGAGUGACAGGUUUGCAGAUGUUGAAGAAUUGGUAUAUCUGAAAUGGAUAAAUGCCUGCCUACGGUAUGAGCUGAGAAACAAGGAUGCUCCAUCAGGGAAGACUGUUGCACGGGAUCUUAACAAGACCCUGAGCCCUAAGUCUGAACUGAAGGCCAAGCAGCUGAUAAUGGAAUAUGCCAACGCUGGUGCGGAGGACAGUCACUUGAGCCAUGUUGAAUUUGGUUCAGAAUGCUCUUCUUCACGGGCAUCGUCAGGUGAACCGGAUGAUGUAUCAAUUGAUGUCGCUGCGAUGACAAAGCAUAAAAACCCGAAGAAGAAAAAGUUCUUCUCUAAGCUUCGAAAACUGGUGCUUGGAAAAGGAAAGGAGAACCAUGAAGUUUCUACUCUGGAAAGGAGAGUAUCUAUUUCAAGCUGUUCAUUCGAUGACUUAACUGGAAGGGAUUCACAUGAUAGCUAUUCUUCAUUCAUGGCAGAACCAAAUGUACCUGAUAGUCAACGACAUGGCGAUCAUGGCUUCAGUACGCAUUCUUCUUUGCACAGUGUGAAAUCUUGUCCUGUUGGAACAGAAACUGGAAAUGAGAGAAGUGAUCAUUCUGAUGUGAAGAGUAUAUCUUCUAGAGAGGAAAGGGUAAAUUCGUUUGGUCACAGUGCUCGCCUUGAUAGCGGCAAGGCCAUACCUGUGGAUGCGGAGAUCCAUAAAUUUGCCGAUGCACUGAGCACAUCAAGGUCAGGUUCCAUGUCAUCAAGAAGGUCGUCGUCCUUCCGACACUGAUACACGAAUAGAUUAGGAGUCAUCUGCGGCUGACCCAUCUGCCUGGAUGUAUAUUUGUACCAGUGCUUGAUUGGGAAGUUAUAGGAGACGUUACUGGAAUGAAGUUCUCAAGGCUUUAUUCUUUGUGAAAUGUACAAUCACGUAUAGAGUGUAGUUUACUAACCUUAAAUACCAACCCUUGCCAUUUGGGUUGGUAAUGUGUAUCAUAAAAUGCCACAGUUCAAUGGCAAACAUACAACACUUCUUUUAUGUAUCUUGUGUCAUUGUGUGCAUGAUGUUCAAUUGCACUCAAUCCGCAGUUAAAACUUUGUUAGAGAAUGUUCCGGCUUCUGCAUCCUAUCAUACACAAGCGACAUGGCUGGCUGUUACUACUGCGUCACAGUUUCUCCUUUUUACCAUCACAGUAUCACUGUUAUGUUGCGUCAGCAAGGCGUCAUCAACUUGGUGGCGAACCGGGGAUUACAUCACCUAAAUCUGGGGUUUCAGAUAGUGGGAAUUGUUAUCAGCAGCACGAGUUCAUGAAGCAGAACAGAUGAGUGAGACAGUCUAUCAUUUGACAAAACCCAAAUAUAUUGACCAUUACAUUUCAUUUUGGAGUACAGAAGCAUUGUGAGACUCCAUAGUCAACCAGGGAGCAUGCAAAUUGUAUAUAAUAACAACAUCAGACGGUAUAGAAACCACAGAUACAUCACCGACGAGCAACAAAAGGGGCAAAAUUUCAGGAGCAUACUACUCUUCCAAAGGAACAGAGAUAGUCCACAGCACUAUUUCCCUCGGAACUGCAUUCCAUGCUAUUCUUUUUACUUGCAUGAGUUCACCGCGCGUUCUCGAGGACCGACUUGCCUCAGCAACUGGAUCAUCAGCAGGCAGUAAAUAUGUAAGAACAGAUGUUCAUCAUCCAUGUAAGAAACGCUGCAAUUAAGGUGAGCAGCAACAGGACCUUUGGUCUUUACAGGUUAGAGUGUUGCGUUUACCUGAAAAUAUGUCUCCAUCUUCUGCUUCAGAGUGGCAUGCUCCCUCUUCAUCUUCUGGAGCGACCUGCGGCAUCUGAGACAUGGAAUGGUGAAACAGGUGAGCACACUGGAAAAGAAUGAGAUGCAGAUAUAGAGGAAGAGUCGUGAAGUGUACCCUUCGAGAUUCCUGCCAUCGCAGUGUGCUUUAAACAUGGAGCACGCAUUUUUCAUCCUCAGAGCACCGAUGCUGUGCCAGAAAAGAGGCUACCUUUAGUGAACUUGAAGAUAUAUCUUAAUAAUCAUAUUUUGCAUCAGUGAGCUGAGCACUCCAAAAGCUAGACCAUAAUGGAUAAUGAGAAGAUUCUGAAUUGCCGAGCUAUGAAAAACAAUUGUUUGCAAUAUGUUUCUAGGCAUAUUCACCGCCUCUAUACCUUGAUCCACUGCCUUUGAACUGGUGCACCAAAGAAUCCAACCGGUAGAAAUCCUGAGGGUACUUCUCACUGUAUCACAAGAAAUUGAAAAGUGAAUGCACUAAACAGGAUUGUUUCUACUGCUAAUCUUGUCUUAGAAGUCAUGUGUGUGCAGUAUACCAGAAAAUCCCAAUUGUCUGUAGAUGAAUCAGUCAUAUACUACUUACAGUGCUUGUUCUAUGUUUGUCAACAACCUUGAUGAAUCUUUGAAAAACAAAGCCACUACUUCCUCAACAAAAUUGGGGCUUGAAUCAUCCUGCAGAUCUUCCAGAUGAUUAAACUGUUCAUCCAGGUAACCCUGCAGGAAAUUACGGGUUAGAUUAAAAAGCAAAAUAAAGAAGAAUUAACUCUCUGGUAAAAAGCAACUUGCUCUUGAGAGUGGCCUCUUCUAAUUGUUUGAAAUAUUAUGAAGGAUCAAAAAAUCCUUGAUGAAAUAAUGGAUAUAGGGUAUGUUUGGACAUGGAGACAAGCACAUUUUUGGUGACAAGUAUGGCGGCUCGUUGGACAUAAAAGAAAGACACAUGGGAUCAAAAUGUAUAAGAAAAAACUAUAUCUCAUGGGUUUCCUGUUUUUUCAUUUGCUCCAAAUCAUGUGUUAUAUGAUAAUGAAAAAUGAAAGAUAAAAUUAGCAGCUUGUAUGCUAUUUGAGAACAUUUUUAGAAUCAACCGUUUGGAUUGUGCUUGUCCCUAAGGGUUACAAAUCUUCACUCUAAAAUACACAACGAAAGAUUGCCUUUUGGACAGUCCACAUAAAGACCAACCAACUGAGUUCCAGCAAGUGGUUUUAGGCUUCAACCUAGCUAGGCAUAAAGGGGACUCUGAUGUUUGCCUACCAGAAACUAAUGUAUGAUCAAAAUGAUCCUAAAUUAUGAUGACUCUGUAAAGUAUGAAAACCCACCUUUCUGUAUAUUCUCAAAGGAAUAUGAAAAUAGGAAAAUAAAGUGGCACGCUAUUCUGUAUGGUCGGCGACUUCCUUCCAUUUAUCUACUAAAUUCCAUUAUCACAAAUUCACAAUGUGUGAACAUGAUGUAGCAGAAUAUGUUGUGUAACUUUUAGAUAGGAAGAUUGGAGCUACUUGAAUUAUUUCAAAUCAUCUAACAAAAUGAGCUGUGGUUCGUUACAAAACUAAAUUUGAAAUAUAAUGAGUGAAUAAUCUGCCUGACAAAAUGAGUUAUGUUGAUUAUCCUAUGAAACCUAUAAGAGCUCCAGACAUGAAAAAAAAUAUGUUAAUAGGUGUGACACUGUUAGUCAUUACGAUCCCAGGUUCCCAGUGAACUGAGACAAAACCUGAUCGAAGAGGCUUUUCUUCAUGGAGAUGAUCUGGCGCCGCAAAUUUGAGUAGUCCAUAUUUGGCUACCUCAGUGCAGGCAGGUAUAGAGAACUGAGAUUGGCACACUGAGACACAAAACGAACGAGGGUGUGUAUAUAUAGAGGGAAACAGGACAUUUUUAUAACAUGCAAAAUCUUUAUUCUACAUUGAUAAUGUCCUCCUGUGAAUAAAGCAUAACAAAAAGACAAAGAACUUUCCUUUUUCCAUGAAACUGUUGGAAAAUAGCUCAAGUACAAAUGCUGCAAGUUGCUCUAUUAGUUCUUUACUUUAUAAACCAAAAAAGGGGGUUCUCUACUACAUAAGGUUUCUGUGGCUACACUGUAAACAGCGAGGAACUUCAGAAUAUCAUGAAGCUGCACAACAGAAAUGCAUAGAACUGUCAAACCAUAGAACUUGUUCCUUAAGAACUCACUUACAAAUAAGAUAAAUAAAGUAUUUUUAGAUACUAGCUAAUGAAAUUACAAAUAUAGACAAUUGCACAUUCAUCUGUAUCACUUGUACAUAAAGCUCUUUCUACCAUUCAGAGAGUCGGGAUUGAGCCAAUCUCACUAUUACACAAUGAACGCCAUCAAAGAUUGUCAGUGACUGAUGAAGAGGACAGAUUCACUAAAUCUAGAAAUUCUAACUUUACACGAUAUCUUCUACUGCAAAAGAGUUUUUGGAAGAAUUAGUCUCUUUAAAUGACAUCAACCGUUGAAAUUCCUUGUAAGUUUUUAACAUAAAGAAAAUUUCCUUUUAAUUCAUAAAAUUACAGACAAGUGGAGUAGUAACUAUGGCCAUUGGCCAAGCUGCCUCUAGAAAAGUUACAGUUAUCGCUGAAACAAAACGAAGAUGAUGGCUAGCUCUUGUAAACUAAGACUAACUACGUUUCCACAAAUACAACACGAAAAUGCAUUGGAAAAGGUAAACAUAAAAAGAUGUUUAAUGACCAUUGUUUUUAACAUGGGACAACAGUAUACUUUUCACGGAAAAAUUACAGUAUUGCUGAUGUCAUAAUUCCUGAUACAGAUGAAUUACUGAAAGCAUAUCAAUCCCACCUCUUCCAUGAGUACGCAAAAAUAUUCCAAUAGCCUUUCAAGAAAACAGCUAAAAAUUGCAACUCUAUGAAUGGACUGGUACUAGCACAACAGAAAGAGAUACUUGGUACUACAAGAAAAGAGAGUCUAAAUAAAAAAAAUGAUUGGAGAAUCUUUUCAAGAAGUCACUAGCUAACUCCUUAAAGUCACUUCCUAAAGCGAUAGGAACAGUUGGAACUCAGACAUGCCACGUAGCCAUUACACUAGAACAAAUGGAAAUAACAGCAAACUAAAAUAUUGCAUAAAAUUUCAAAAUUCUAAGACAUUCAGGCAUUUAAGUUGAAAUAUCGACAUCAAAGUUCUGUUAGUUUGAGAUAUUAUCUUCAUCUAUUUUAGAAAUGUUUACAGGUACCUAAGAUGCAACGUCAAUAGAUCAUAAAGGUGGACACCUCAGGCAGAUCUGUCAUCAGUCAUCAGAUGAACCAAAGGAGCUCAACUAUCUGCUGCUUUUCGCCACAUCUCACAUAUCCUGAAACAUUGUCCAGAGAAGACUAACAACAAGGAAUGGGUGUGAGGCAUAAUCAUCAAAUGGGCGAAGCAGGCACCCUACUAAAAAGGAAGAAGAUAAAUAGUGGCAUCACCAUGCUACACUAAAACCAAAUGGAGAAUUGGAUGAUAAAGGGGAAGAUGCAUAGUGGGCAGGAAAUUCCCACUUUAUUCCUUUCUAGUAGCUACUCCCAUGGUUUUUCGGUUGCAGUUAUAUAUUUUAUUUUGUUUGGUCCCAUCCACUGCUUUCGAUAAAUGCUGAAAAGAGGAAUAAACUGUAUAAUUGGAGCAGUGAAAAUGACCUCUAGGUAUCUCUGCUGGAUAGUGAUAAGAGAAUAUGAACCUGGAACAGGACAUUAAAAUGACGGAUAUUGGUUUAAAUGGUUAGUGUCAGUAAAGUUCUUAUCUGGGCGAAUCAUGACAGCAAGAUGCAUAACAAACACUAGCCGCAGAGCACAAAUCUGAUCACGAAGUGAGAGGUGGCAUAGCCAACACAUCACUACCUUGACAGUUGCAAGAAUUGUUGCACCUCUUUUUCUAUAUGUGCACCUAAGCAUCUUGCGAUGCAUAUUCCCACACACAUAUCGCAUUUAAAAAUGGACCAGAUAAGGAGAGACAGCAUCCUUUCCAUGUAAAGUAAGAAUCGAUGCAGGACAGUAGUUCAUAUUUCAUAUUUAUAUUCUGCGCAGAUCGGAUCGUUCACCACAGAGCUCUGUCAAUGGCUGGCAGUAUAAGAAAUCAAAUCAGGAGCUCAUUCAUAUAUAGGAAUAGACAUUUUUUACUUUAAACUGAUGUGCUAACAGCGAAUGGUACUACUGAAACAAACCACGUAAGAUUUCGGAUCCACCAGCCAAUUACUCACGGCAAUUCAUAACCACUUGGCUUGCAAGAUUGGAAUAUAAAGCUGGAUGAUUCUCACAAGACAAGAUUCCAGCCUCAUGUCAUAGAGCAUUGCAGGUGAAUUAUCUUUACCGAUCAUAUAUUGUUGGAGAUAAAUCUAUCUCCCUAGCCUAAAUACACCCAAAUCCAAGACAUGACUUCAGUUUCAUAUAAAGCUUCAGGGAUAGUGUCUGUUUGGACUUUGGAGUUGCAUAAACUAUAUAUCAUUGGUAUAAUCGUAACCACCAGAGCCUGAAGCCCUGAAAUCAACAGGUUUCAGUUGCGAGCAGCUGCGUGCGGAUGAUGUCACGGCCAGGUUCUUCCAGACGUCCAGGUUCCCUCCUCCCAUGACGACGCCACCGGCACCUACUUGAUCAUUCUGUGUCGCCGUUCCGCAUUCUGUGUCACCGGCACCUACUUGAUCAUUUAGGUUGCGCAUGCACCUACUUGAUCAAUGGGGGUCAUGAAAUGCAGAAAAUCUACACAACUUGGUGGAACAGGGUAAUAAACAGGAUGGGAUUGUGGCACUGUCACAACAGUCAGGCUGCUGAAGAAUAUAUGUGUAUCCAUCUCCAGCAUAAGGCACCGGUUUGCUAAAUUCAGAUGCUUCAUGCUUCCCUGGAAUUAAAGCUCGUUCAGUGAACCAGCAUCCUGGUUCCCAUAAGAUGUAAGGUAGGCAAUGAUUUGAAGCUGUGGGUCACCAUGGAAAGUGUUGAGCAUAAGCAUCUGAAUUUACAGGAUAUUGAAUAAAACCUAUGCAUCACUGAUCACUAGAGGGAGCAGUACAAGCAUGAAUAAUGUACCGUUUCAGGAAACAUGUAAAGCAACAUCAACUGUUCCAUCAUGAUCAGUUCUCUGCCUCAUAGAGAGCUUCUGACAAUGCCAAACCAACUGAGCUGGCGUCUCCAGAACAGAGAAGUUGCAAGAUGCCAUCUGAAGGGUGCACUGCAUAUUUGAAGUUCUCAUCAUCUCAUCAUCUUUUGCGUAAUGUAACCUGAACGAUGAACGAGCUCUCCUGCGUAUUCACGGAAAAAAAAAGAAAUUUUGAAUUGUCAACUCAGCGUUAAUCUCAAAAAACAGGUUAAUCUCAACUCAGCGUUGCUCCUGUACUUGGCAAUAUAUAAUUGUCAAAAGAUAGUUUUCGUUGUGCAUUGAUGCGAGAACCAAUUUAGACUGUGCUUAGACUUUGGAGCCCAGCAAUAAGGCUUUGGGCCGUUGGACCUGUUUUAAUCAACGGUCCAGAGAAUGGGCGGGUGCAAGUGAGAAUUUUGUAGGAUUUUUAUUUGAUUCAAGUAGCUUUGUUAAGAAACCGAAGUAGAUCGAUCAAGGCGAAACUGAGUGAACUUUGGCACCAAUCAAAUCAAAUGUGUCUUUCUCUUGAUUUACACUGGUUUAAAGUAGUAUAAAGACUCAACAAAUUUGUCAGAAGAAUGAACGAAAAGCACCUCGAUCAGGUACGCACACCAGUGAUUGACACACUAAUAACAAAGUAAAAAAUGACUGACGACCUGUAUGGUGUGGUAUACUGGUAUGCCGUAUGGCCCGUAUACGAUACACAAAAAUACAGUACGAAACAAGGUAUAAACUCCUCUAGCAGCAGCAACAAGCUUCAGCUCAACUUUUAUUGACUCAACUCACACGACGGCCCAGCAGCAAAAAUGGCGUCCCUUUCCUCCUCGGCCGCCAGCCGGCCAUGGUCAUCACCUAUGCUUUACCGGUAGCUGCGGUAGGUUGGGGUGUACAUGCAGCUCUGGGCGUACUUGACAAGGUCGUCGGGGCGCGGCAGGCGGCUGGCGAGGCCGAGCUCGUAGGCCUUUUCGGCCACCUUGGCGGCGAUGCGCGCCGAGAUGGUGCGGAUGUUGGUGAACGGCGGGAAGAUGAGCCCCUUGGCGAAGUGCUCGUCGGUGACCUGCUCCGCCAGCGCCUCCGACGCCGCCAGCAGCAUGUCGUCGUGGACGCGGAUGGCGCCGGAGAUGACCACGCCGAGGCCGAACCCAGGGAAUAUGUAGGCGUUGUUGGACUGCCCCGGCACGUACACCUUGCCUUCGUGCUCGACGGCGUCGAAGGGGCUGCCGCUGGCGAACACGGCGCGGCCCUGGGACCAGGUGUAAGCCUCCUCCGCCGUGCACUCCGAGUGCGACGUCGGGUUGGACAGCGCGAAGAUGACGGGCCUCUCGUUGAAGGACGCCAUGGCCUCCACCACCUCCUUGGUGAAGGUGCGGCCCACGCCGGAGGUGCCGAUCAGCACCGUCGGCUUGAUGGACUCCACGGCCUCCAGCAGGGUCUUGAGGGGCUCGUGAUCGUGCGCCCACGGCUGCUUGAAGUGCUGCAGCGACUCCUUGCGCGACUCCACGAUCAGGCCCUUGGAGUCCACAAGCCAGAUCUUCUUGCGGCAAUCGUCGAUCGGAGUCUCCGACUGUUUGGAAAAAACAAUCAGCACAUCAGGAAUUUUUUUUCUUGGGAUUAAUGGACAUUGAGAUUAGUUACUUACAUGUUUUGACAUCUCAAGAGCAAUGAGGUCAGCAAUACCAGUUCCAGCCUGCAAGUAGACAAACAAUGAAAUCAAACGAACCAGCGAAAGCAUGCCAAGUAUCGGUGCAUUAUCGAUCAGUAAAAGCAGGGCAUUGUUCAGAACAUGAGGAAUAAAAGAUUAUCGUGACUGACCUCGCCGGCACCAAGGAACAGGUAGGUGUGGUCAGCAAGAGUGCCACCGACCACCUUGAGCGCCGCCAAGAGACCUGCGAGGACCACCGAGGCUGUUCCCUGCAAUCCCAUCGUUUUAUAUCAGCACACUUGAAACAGAGGAGGACAGAACAGCCCCUGUUCGGCUGUUCUGAACUUGGCAUGCAUAAUCCUACCUGGAUAUCGUCGUUGAACACGAGAUGGCUCUUGCUGUACUUGGCAAGCAAGUCAAAAGCAUUGUGGUUGGCAAAGUCCUCGAACUGUCGUCAAAAGGAACAGAUUGAAGACCUGGCACCUAGAGAAAGGCCAAAAGGCACAAAAAGCUAAAAGUGUUCCACUGUGACGGACCUGGGUUAGGACUUUCUCGCCGUAGUUUUGCUUGACGGCGGUCAUGAACUCUUCGAGAAGCUCGUGGUAUUCCUGUGAAUCAUCGGAAAACAGAAAAUCACAUCUCAAUUCAGAAAAGAGACCACCAAGUCACCUAUUGCAGGUGUUCGUCAGAAUUAUAAAGUGCGGACAGCGACGAACCUGGCCGGUGGCACGUCUUUGGCGGAGGCCAAUGUAGAACUCGUCGUUGAGCAAGGUCUCGUUGUUGGUGCCAACAUCGAUUGUGAUCGGCAGGCACUGCAGCAUAAAACCAUUUGCCGUCAUCAGCAAAAUAAGUCAUGGAUCGUCAUCUCUUUUUUUGUCGAUUGUUAUUACAUUACAGAAGAACACUUACAGCGGAUGGGCGAACGCCUCCGAGGGCGGUGUAGAGAGACAGCUUGCCAACGGGGAUCCCCAUCCCCUGGCAGCCCAGGUCCCCGAGCCCCAGGAUGCGCUCGCCGUCGGUGACGACGAUGACCUGGAUGCUCCUCUCCGGCCAGUUCUUGAGCACCUCAAGGAUCUUGCCCCUGGAACGAAACAUUCCGUCAGGCAAGGAGGCAACGAAGACGGCGCGAAUACAGAGGCGCUAGCACCAUCAGGAAAUCUUACUUGUCCUUGAGGCUGAUGUAGAGCCCCUGCGGGCGCCUGUAGAUGCUGCCGUACUUCUGGCACGCCUCGCCGACGGUGGGCGUGUAGACGACGGGGAGCAGCUCCUCGACGUUGUCGAUGAGGAGCUUGUAGAAGAGACGCUCGUUGCGCUCCUGCAGGUCCAUCAUGGCGAUGUAGCGCUGCAGGGGCACCGUGUACUGGCGCAGGUUGUGCAUGAUCUUCUUCUCCUGGAGCUCCUGCGACGCCAGCGCGGGCGGGAGCAGGCCGCGCAGGUAGUGCGCGUUGCGCUCCGCCUCCGAGAAGGCCAGGCCCUUGUUGUGCCGCGGGUCGCGGAGCAGGGUGUAGCCGCUGCACGAGGAAGAAGAAAAGGAAGCAUGGUCAAUGAGAUGCUUGUUAUUGCCCGUAAAUUUCGUCGUCGUCUUUUACACGAUGAUGAUGAAUGAUGCUGCGUUGCUGUUGAUCGAGAGAUUCAAAGAAGGUGAUGAAAAUAAAACAAGAAAGGAAAAAAAGGAAAGUUUGGAGAAGAUUGGAAAGGGGGAAAAAACAAAGGGCGGCUUUAGGCGCGUUGCGUAACGUAGGGUCCCCGGAAGGGGAAGAAUGUUUGGUAACGUAAGCUGGCUGGAGAUGGUGGCAGAACCAUCCAUGGCCGAGAUCGACCGGACGAUCUGGUCUCGCGCAACAAACGAACAGUGCACCAGGAGGCACACACAGACAGGAUCAUGGCAGGAAAAGGAGAUUCAGAGGAAUCGAAACGACGGGCGUGAGGCAUAUGCAGGAUGCAUGGGCGAUCCGACUACUGACCUGGCGACGGAGAAGGCCCACGGCGUGACGAGAUGCUCCUCGGUGGCGCGGUCCUCGCCGUACGCGUCCUCGACGCCGCCGCCAGCCAUCUCCAUCUCCGACGACAUAUCGACGAUCUCCUGGGCGAAGCUACCUAGUGCUCCUCUGUUUCGUGCUGUCUGUUUUCCAGCGCCAACCGCGGGUCGAGACUUGAGAGGGCAGGCAGGUUACAGAUGGAAGGAUGCGGGGAAGGAGCGAGCGGCGGUGGCGCGCAUUUAUAGCAGGGCGAGCGUCAUGGGGCCCACGCGGCGGGGGCGAGUCCUAGUCUCGAUUUGCCACGGCGAAGGAGGGGCCCGCGUGUGAAAGGGAGGAAAGGUCGGAGAGGAGGGGGACGCGAAUAGUAAGCGCCAAGGGAACCAAGGGAGGCGUCCUCCACCUCCUCCCGUUGGAAAGGAAAGGAAAGCCCAAAGCCAAGGGUUGGAAAGGUGGUGGGGACUGCCGGACUGGGGAGGGAAGCUGCCCACGGCCAGAAAGGGGCAAGGUUAGGUGGCGGAGGUCAGGAGGUGGGAGAAGAGUCGCCGGCCGCCGGGUGCGCGGUGCGCUCGGGUCCGGUGGGUUCGGUCUUCACCAUUGGCGCCGGCGCGGCGUACCCGUCGGCCAUCGGUCGUCACGGCGUUCUCAUCGUGCCGUAGCAGCGAGUCAGGAACCGGUUGGUUAGCGUAUUAAUUAGUAGGAGCGGUUAUACGAGUGCUAGUAAGUGCGCUGGCUCGAUCAUCCGCUUUCAGAAUUGAUGAAGGGCAUGGCCAGGCCACGGCGUCAAACCGUGCUCCGAUCAUCCUAGUGCCGCGACCGCGAGGCAGUAGUAAACAUCUUCCAGUGUCGACGACGUAGCUGCGCGCGCGCGUACGAGCGUGCACGAAGCCAGCAUGGAUGCACGCGCCAGUGCAGAGAAAGGUCAGGCAGACCCAGACACGUAACGACUUGUGUCUACGUACCUUGCUCAGCUGUUUGUAAUGACAUAGACCUUACUCAAAGUUUGGAGGUGUAAAAUUACUGUUAUAGCACCGUAGCACACUGUAGCGUUUCGUUUGUAUUUGUGAAUUAUUAUCCAAAUAUUGACUAAUUAGGCUCAAAAGAUUCGUCUCGCAAAGUACAAGAAAACUGUGCAAUUAGUUUUUAAUUUCGUCUACAUUUAGUACUCCAUGCAUGUACCGUAAGUUUGAUGUAAUGGGAAAUCUUCUUUUUGCAUAGUGUCAAAGUUGGAAGUUUUGAGGAAAGUAAACAUGACCAUGGUACUACCGUUUAACCGUUAGUCCUCCCUUUUGACCUGCAUGGAGAAACUAGUAGUACGGUGUAUCACGAGCAUUGUUACGCGUAUUCGUUGAGUUCCGACAGAAUUCUUCCAGCGAUUUGACCAUGAUAAUCUCCUGGAAACAGUCCAGCGGCCAUGGUCAACCCCACGACGUUUCUCACCUGACGUGUAGGGUUGGGUUCAAACUUGAAGCAGUCAGGUAUGCAGAGGCUCUGUAUUGGUGGACUUCAACUUUUCCAAAGUGGCCACCAAACAUUCCGUUAUGUUAUGUGGCCAAACAGCUAGUAGUGGCAUGCAGAUGACCUGGCGCUACGUGUAUACAAGUACCUUUUCGUUUCUUCUAUUUUUCUAUCUACUGACUUGUUGUUCUCUUCAAAACACACGAGUGCCAUAUAACUUUUUCCCAAAAACGAACGCUGUCACCUAACGAAAGCGCGUGCAGAGCGCCGCGGCGGGUUGCCGCAACACCCGCCACCAGCCCACACAGCAAGCAGCGUCGUUUCUACGGCGCUGACCAUUCACGGCUCCUCCGCAACGUGGCCCGACCCGCUCCGGCUUCCGGUCCACCGCGCAGUGAGUAGCAAGCUUGGGGCCUGGGGCCUACCGGUGGUCGUCGCUCAGGUGGGAAAAAGAGGCUGGUUGGUCCGACAACGAACGGGAGAUUGGUACGCCGGUGUCGGUUGGGUUAAAGCCUGUCCGAGAUGCGCCUACACACAAAAGCAGCCGGAUGGAUCGACCACACAGCUGCUGGUAGGGCACCAAACUCGUUUGAGGUUAACAUGUUUGUAACAGCGUCGCACGAAACGUCGUUACUACGAGCGUGACGCUUGAGGCGAUGGGCCCGUAUCCUUUUGUGCGGCGGAAGGCGGAUUAUGCCAAAAGGGCCGUAUUUUUUUGUCAGGAUUGUGUUCAAUUCGCGCGUGGCUCUUUCACGGCUAGGGUGAGUCGGCCCGCAGCAGCGAUCUCUUUCGGAACCGCAGUAUCUGGGCGUGUAGUGAGCACCCAACGGUUCCGAAUUUAAGCGCAGGAACUGGUUGCCAUGAACGUAGAGGAAGGAAGUAUAUACGACUGGUAUACGUGAUGAAUCUCACAUCACAGUUUACAGGUUAUCCAACAGUGAUCUGUGCCAUCGUCCCGUCCGGCCCGUCGCUUCUCUCCGCGUGCACCAGCAUCCAUACGUAGCGGUAGCAAAAAGUCGGACGUGUUUGUUGAGGGCCGACAGAAUCAAACCGUUUAAUUCUACGGAGACGGCCACCUGGUUAGCACCCACACCGCCUUUAAAUUCUACGGAGACGGCGGCGGCGACGCUGACCGGUGACCGUUCCACCCGCCGGGGAUGUGGGCAGCAGGCAGGUCAGGUGGAAACGGAAAGGACCGGAGGAUCGGAGCUGGUGGGGUGGACGGUGCCCGUUGCCGUUGGUUUUUACGGCCUGCAGCAGAGAGCUGCCGGCCGUGUUACGGCUCAGAGGAAAAGGACUGCCCGCAGCUGCUGCUUCUUUCACAACAAGCUAGCUAUUGGCCGUGUUUGAUAGGAUUCUAGAGCGAUUCUAAUCAUUUUAGAGGUGUUUGAUACGAUAUGCUAAAUUUUAGCAGGCUCACGUCGGAUAUUAGGAUGCUAAUUAGGAGGGUUAAACAUGAGCUAAUUACAAACUAAUUGCACAGAUGGAAUCUAAUUUGCGAGAUAAAUCUAUUAAGGCUAAUUAAUCCAUCAUUAGCAAAUAGUUAUUGUAGCACAACAUUGUCAAAUCAUGGACUAAUUAUGCUUAAUAGAUUCGUCUCGUGAAUUAGACUCCAUAUGUGCAAUUAAUUUUGUAAUUAGCUCAUGUUUAGUCCUCCUAAUUAGCAUCCAAACAUCCAACGUGACAGGUGCUAAAGUUUAGCACGGCGUAUCCAAACACCCCUUAAUUUUAAUCUAGUGAACCACCCCAAACGUUCUGAUUUUGAUACGCUUCCAUGGGAAUUGAUUCCCUGACCAUCGAGCAAAACAACGUGAGUGCAGAAUCGUCCGCCUCGUCGCUGGGGAAAAAUCCCACCGAUUGUGAGGGAUCAGUUACUAGUUCGGCUCGCACCCCUUCCAUCCAUUCCGCCGCCCCCGAAGGUAGGGACGAGCGGCUCCUUCCUGUCGCCCAUCGCCGUCACCCCUUGCGGUGAAUAAUCGGCCUGCUCCUCGCUGCUUGAGGCCCGUGCGCCAGCGCGCCGCCUGAUGCCGCUUGGGCCCCUCCGACUCCGCCGCCUGACAUGCCUCCCUCGCCAAUCGCACCCUUCUGCCUGGCGAGCCCCCUCCAGCAGCAACGAGCGUCAAGGCCGGCGCCAGCCGCUCAAGAUUUGCAACGAGCAGAACCCCUGAAGGCCUCCCUGCAGCGCACACGCAGUUCAUUACACACUAAGCACAGAUAAUCUUAUAACAGAGAAUCAGGUUGUCAAACACUCUACUUCUCUUGCCAGUAGAUUUUGUACUUCUCUUGCUAGUAGAUUUUGUGGACAGCAAUUUUUCAAAGCAACUAGAUUUUUAUUUUAGAGAAUCGCUGCUCAAAUAUACUGAAACAACCAAGGCCAUUGUCUGUCCAGUCCACACGACACAGGAUCGAGAAGACCCUUGCUUCCGCGCCUGCAUUGCAACUGCAUCCGUCAGCCGUGUACGCUGGAGGGAAGCAGCAUCCGCCGCGAUCGAUUGCCGCAUGCAGUUGCUAUGUAUCAUCCCAUCCGUUCCAUCCCAUCCGGCGCCCACCUCCAUGAGCGAGCGUGGCAACGUGUUCGCGCCGGCGGCCGGCGGGCCGAGGUAGACAAAGCUCUGGAUCGAAUUUCCUUCCAUCCAUGGGGCACCGCACGCUCAUGCUGUCUCGCUGCCUCCCGAUCCGCGCUUAAUUUCCUCAAGGCGCAUCAUACGCCGUGGUGCUGCCGGCCGGCCGGACGGGAUCACGCAUCUGCACCGUACUGGAUUGGCACGUAAAUAAAAAUAUGGUCGUAUAGCACCAUGAUCAAGGGGCAGCGCCGCUGCUUUCCUGUAGCUGCGUGCUAGCGGAUCGAUCGCCGCCUCCGCCUGGGCGUUCGACCUCGUUCCGGUGGACGACGGGGUCUUUUAUCGCCUUAGCAAGUUUAGCUGGUUCAACCACUUAAAAAUCUUUAGUCAGCUAAAGUUUAUCCUUAGGGGGUGUUUGGGAAACCCCUGUUAAAGUUUAACACCUGUCACAUCGGAUGUUUGGAUGCUAAUUAGGAGUACUAAACAUAAGCUAAUUACAAAACUAAUUGCACAGAUGGAGUAUAAUUCGCGAGACGAAUCUAUUAAGCCUAAUUAGUCCAUGAUUUGACAAUGUGGUGCUACAGUAACCAUUUGCUAAUGAUGGAUUAAUUAGGCUUAAUAGAUUCGUCUCGCGAAUUAGCACAAGGUUCUGCAAUUAGUUUUAUAAUUAGCUCAUAUUUAGUCCUCCUAAUUAGCAUCCGAACAUCCGAUGUGACACUGUUAAAGUUUAGCACCUCAUAUCCAAACAGCCCCUUAGCUGCUACGGUGGAUCGCCUUUGUUGCGCCGCUAGCUAGCUAUAGUGAUUUUGGUGUACUGUAGAUUCGGAGUACAAUAUACUCCCGUUGAGAGAGAGAAAAGAGAUGUGGCCGACAGGUUUUCAGUUUUCACCUGUCACCUCUGUAAGGAGAAGCGAAAGCUGGCCUGCGUGCUCCCUAUAAACCUAGCACUAGAGUACCUGCACGAGAUACAGUACGUACUAAUAUGGCGGUGCAAUCAUAUCUUUGUGGACAUUUCGCAACUGUCUCUGCAAAAAUGAACAGGAGAGACAGUGCAGGAGGGGAGAGAAGAGAACCCUCUCCAUUCUAUUCUUCUUUUUUCUAAGGUUCACUGGUGAUUUUCAUAAGAUUAUCUCAGGUGGAGGCAUUAGGCCCACCGUACCAUGGGCCACUUGCCACUCACCCUUUUGGGCCGGACUCGAACACCGCGCUAGCUAAGUUCCUUGUAAUUUUGUCUCUGUUUUGCUAAUAUAAAACAUUACUCUUAAAUCAACCUGUCAAACGAUUUGUGAGUCGUCUGCAAGUCAAGUGGUACACGAACUGUACGCUCGUGGCUUGUAAAGUUUUGCGUUUGCUGACGUGUAGUGCAUGUAUGGAAAUCUCAAGCUGUCAGCCGCGCGUGCAUGCUCCCUCCAACUAGGAAAUGAACAACUAGAUCAGUUCCAAAGUUAGUGUAUAGUAGGAUGCGCGCAUCACACGUUAAGUACUUAAUUGCAUCAUGAUAGUUCAAAAACAUAUCCAGUGGUGGUGUAAUCUAUUCGCAUGGAUCGUGUGCUCAUGUGGUUUUUAAAGUGGGCAGGGCAUUACAGCAACAUCAAAGCUUCUUGAUCGGGUAAACUAACCAAGGUGUGCGUAGGCCGCACGUGGUGAUUUGAACAGUUUCGAAACAUGAUAGAUAGAGACGUGGACGCUUUACAUGUGCAUGCCGGCAAAGAUACAGGACUAGUGGGUCUUUUAGAUUGUCAGGGUGCUUGAUACACCUCACUAAAGUUUAGCACCUAUCAUAUCGGAUAUUUUUUAUACUAAUUAGAGUAUUAAACAUAGAUUAAUUACAAAAUUAAUUGCACAGAUGGAGUCUAAUUCGCGAGACGAAUCUAUUAAGCCUAAUUAGACCAUGAUUUGACAAUGUGGUGCUACAGUAACCAUUUGCUAAUAAUGAAUUAAUUAGACUUAAUAGAUUCGUCUCGCCAAAUUAACACAGGGUUCCGCAAUUAGUUUUAUAAUUAGCUCAUGUUUAAUCUUUCUAAUUAGCAUCCGAACAUUCGAUAUGAUACUGCUAAAAUUUAGCACCUAGUAUCCAAACACCCCCUCAAAGUCACCACAGGCGUACAGUUAGUUCCCGGUAGAUAUAUCACAUUCGAAUAAAAUAAUAAUUACCAAAAAUAUAUGAACACCCGUGUUGAUCAAGCAAGGUUCAUCCCAAGGCACCAGAAAACAACCGACCUAUUCUUAUACCACCAUAAUAUAUUAGAAUUUUUCCCCAAAGGGUUGGAGUGUCAAUUUGGAGCACUCGUCCCCAUCAGAAAGAGGAAAUAAGAUCAAGCAUGCGCGUAGAGUCUUGUUUGGCUCUUGGAGGAUAAUCCUAGCCUGGCGGCGAGACUGUGUCCAGUGCCACAACUCGCCACACGUGCUGGACCCACCAAAUACUAGCACGAUUCUAGUUCAUGAUUAGGGGCCACGGUAUGCCAUAAGAUCAUGAUGGGGUUACGAUACGUGCCAUGGAAAGUUUCCCAGCGUCUAUUCUUUGAGAUUUAUAUUACUAGUUUGUCAACUCGUGCUUCCACACAGGCUAAUAAUUAAUUUUUAAAACUAUAGUUAUUUAAAAUUAAAUUAUCCAGUUAAUAAUCAAAAUUAUUUAUAUGUGACUCAUUUAUUUAUUGAUAAUUAAACUUUUUCCUCAUAUUUGUACUUUUUUCACCUUUACAAUGCAGCUCCAUACGUUGCAUUUAACAUUGAAAAUUAGAAUUUUUCAACGCUACCUCCCAUGCAUGUGUAUAAAUAGUCUACACAGUGACACACAUCAUGUAUAUAUACAGUAACUUAGUAUUUCUAUAUUAACAAUGAUAAAAAUAGAUAAUGUAGAAUUAUAUAUUUUUUCUUUUGGAUAUUUCUUCACAAUGAACAUGCAAAUAAUUAGAUUAAAAUUUAGGUGCUUACUUUAGUUAUUUUAAUUGUGGGUAAUUUAGAUACAACUUAUAAAAAUAUUUUAAGUUAUUUUAUGAUGAUAUGUAUGGAUAACUUAGAUGAAUAUUAUGGUUUACUGUAAGUUAAUUUUUUAUAUUGCGAAGGUGGGUAGUUUAGAUAUUGGUUUAGGUUUUAUUAUAUUUUUUUAAAAAAAAUUCCACAUAUGUUAUUAUGAAAAUUACCCAUCUAUGCCAUUAGAAUAUCUUCACAAUGAUAUUGCUGGGUAAUUUUUUGAAAAUAUAAUAGAUCGAUGGCUAUGAUUAUUAGAUUCUAGGGGACUGAUGCCCAGAUGUUUUUUUAUUUUGUUAGAAUUUCAUAGCACGUCUUGCGAAAAAUUAAGGGAACAUAGCUUACUAUCAAAAUUGUUACUUUGAACUCUCUCUCAUUUGUUAAAUAUGCUAACACAAUACUUAUACAACCGAUUGUGAUAGACUUUAGUUAGUAAUUACUUUACAACUUUUUCAUACACAUUUAGAACCUUUCUUGUUUUUCAGCUUGCAUCGCAUGUAUGUGCAUGAAUUUAUUUAAUGAAUUCUAUGUUUGAGCUAGAUUUUAACAUCAUAUGUGUAUACCUUAUUAUUAUUUUUAUAUCAAUAGUGUAAGAAAUAGACAAUUUAAAAUUAUAUAUUGAUGUACCUCUGGACAUAUUUAAUGAGGAUGAUUGGAUUCAAAUUUUUAAUAAUGGCAUAUGUGAGUAUAAUGUAGUGGUGGGUAAUUUAGAUGCAAAUUUAGGGGGUUAUUUGAAAUUAUUUUUUGUAGUCGUAUAUUUGGGGAAUUUGGAUGAAGAUUAGGGGGUUACCUUAAUUUAUUUUAUAUAAUGGCAUAAGUGGGUAAUUUAGAUAUAGAUUUAGUGGGUUACUUGUGGGUAACUUUUUUUAGAAAAUAUAAUAGAUCCAAGGGCUAUGAUGAUUGAGCCUACCAAAAUGAUAGCUAAAUAUUUUUUUUAGAGAAUUUUUAGGAUUUCUCUCUUUUUCUAGAGUGUCCACCUAAGUUUUCUAGGUGGCUUCAUGUGGAGACUUCAAAAGAAGCCUCCAAUUAGUAAUAGUAAGAUAACCACAAUGCUCGAAUGUCAUUUCUGAUAAAAAAUGCCACACGUCAUUUCUGAUAAAAAUGCCACACGAAGCUUGAAUUCACUGCCUAAUUCCUCUUUCUUUUUAUAUUUUACUACUCGAUGGUGAUGUUGCGUUUUAUUUCUCAUUCACUGCCCCACUUUGCUAAUAAUCAGAAGGAAGGAAAGUUUAACCUUUUAUAUUUAUCAAUUGGUUUAUUUUUAGGUUGUAACCGUAGCUUUUGCGUUCAGGGCUUUAUUUCUCAUUCACAGACGUUUGCUUGCAAAGACUAGCAGGCCUUUAUUUCGGUGAUCAGUGUGCUGCUGUGGCUGCGGGUACAGGACGGGAAAGAAACGGCAAAGGUUGUUGCGACGUGACACCGUGUGGAAUUACGUCCCCUCGCCAUAAUUUCCUCGUAGAACUUGCCAAAGGUGUUCUUUACGGAUCACUUUUGUGUUUCCAAAUUCCACUCAAGUGUCUUGAAAUGAUUUUCUUUUUUGAAAUGACUGCCACUUGGGAUUUCAGGUGGUGCGAAAAAGCCGCUUGCAAAAUUUGCAAGCCAUGUAAAGCCACCUGUUGUAUUUUCCCUUUUGGAGUCAUGGCGAAGGCUCAUUUCUGCUAGAUACAUACAUGCAAUAAUAUUUAAAUAAAUUAUAGGGUAGCCAGAGAUGUAAAAAACUAUUGUAAGAGAGAGUUUUUCGGAUUCCAUAGUCAAGUUAGUUAUUAGUGAGACUAGUGUUUAUGGCACCAAAGCUCGAUGUUUUCCGCUAUUUCAAAACAAUGCAAAAAUACUUAGACCAUGCAAUUAUUAAUUUUUACCCAUAAUAUUAUUUUCAUAACAAGGACUAACUUGCCGAUCAUGGAAUUAUAUGUUCUACCAUAAAUUUUCUGUACUUUUUCACAAGCAUGUGGAUCCGAUUAUCAUUGAAUUUAGACAACACAAUUCCGAAUUGACGCCUCCGAGAGGAAACCGUGUCGCAACCGAACCAACCGAUGCAAGGUUCCAUUGUAGCCCUACAUAUCAUCUUGUGGUCGAAGAGCUGGCUAGCAUUCGCCGUCGCCGUCUUCCCCUCCGCUCUCUCGCUCUAGUACCAACAGUCCCAACACCUUAUCUCCGCGCAUGAGAUGUCGAGGGGGUGAUCGUGAAGGAUGCCGAUGGCGCCCGAUUUGGCCCCGGUCGCAUGCUGUCGUGGCGCGGCGGCGUCACCAGCCACAGUGCCUGUUGCCUAGUGCCUAGCAUACUGACGGCGACGGAAAACGUGCGCCGCGUGUUGCUCCGCCACUGGCUCACGGUGGUAGCACGCCUGCGUGGGCCCUCACGAGCAGUGGCGCUAGCUCUCUGUCUGAUGGGGCCUCCGUUGCACACUUGCACGAGCAAGAAAUCCAAAAGUUGAUUCGAGCCAACACACAAAUGCAAUGCAAGCGCACCACUCUCUCUUCCUCCGGCACCAAUGACGAUAUCAGCCGUCCAUGCCUGCCGGCUCCUCCCAUAGAGGCUAGAGCCUUCACCAACUGCACUAUAUGCAAUUCCUUAGGGGGUGUUGGAACCCCAGACUAAACUUUAGCUCCUGUCACAUCGAAUGUUUGACACUAAUUAGAAAUAUUAAACAUAAACUAAUUACAAAACUAAUUUCACAACCCUAGGCUAAAUCGCGAGACGAAUCUAUUAAGCCUAAUUAGUUCAUGAUUUGAUAAUAUGGUGUUACAGUAAACAUUCGCUAAUGAUGGAUUAAUUAGGCUUAAUAGAUUCGUCUCGCGAUUUAGCCUAGGGGUUCUACAAUUAGUUUUGUAAUUAGCUCAUGUUUAGUCCUCCUAAUUAGCAUCCAAAUAUCCGAUGUGACACGGACUAAACUUUAGCUCUAGGAUCCAAACACCCCAUUCAUUUAACUCGGCCGAUAAUCAAGAACAAACUUAGGGGGCGUUUUCUUCCUGUGUCUUAUUUUUAGCACGUGUCACAUCGAAUGUUUAGAUACUAAUUAGGAGUAUUAAACGUAGACUAUUUACAAAACCAAUUACAUAAGUGGAAUCUAAACGGCGAGACGAAUCUAUUAAGCCUAAUUAAGCCUAAUUAAUCCAUCAUUAGCAAAUGUUUACUGUAGCAACACAUUGUCAAAUCAUGGACUAAUUAGGCUUAAUAGAUUCGUCUUGCUGUUUAGAUUCGUCUUAUGUAAUGGGUUUUGUAAAUAGUCUGCGUUUAAUACUACUAAUUAGUAUCUAAACAUUCGAUGUGACGGGUGCUAAAAAUAAGUCAGUGGAGGAAAACGGGACCUUAUUGUUUGGAACAUGUCGCUACGUAAUGUGAAAGCAUUUGAAAUGUGAAUCUAAUUGCAUGACUUUUAUAUACAAAAAAAUACUUAUAAUGUGACUAGUCGUUGAACAGUUUUUUUAAGGAAAAAAAAUAAUAUGCACUUUUGCGUACGGGUUACUUGUCUAGCGAACACACAGGUUCCGGAACAAGCACUAUAAAACUACAGAAUCCACACAUUCAAGAUUUAUGCUGGCCAUCUUACUGAAAGAAAUUUCAACUUGGUUGAGAUGAACAGCUGUAAAAAUUACAGUGCAGGCCCCUUCUUUUAGAACACAUGCCGUCCCCAAAAAACGGUGGCAUGCAACCCAUUCUCAUAAUUCAUGUGGAUUUUUUGCAUGGCAAAAAGGAGGUCCUGUUGAGUUUGACAUAUGCUAAAAUUUCUGCUGGUAGCCGUUACAAAGCCGUAAAACCAUAAACACUGGCCUGCUGGCUUGCUGCAAGAGAGAGAGACAGGGAGGGGAAAUGUGGUCAGAGGAGGAGAAAGAACAAAUGCAGUCAACAGGUGGUGGUACAGUGCCCCUUUUACCUCCGGAAAAGGAGCAAAGUUGGCUGGCUGGCUAUUAUUAGGGUAUGUUUGAGUCGAGUGCUAAUGGGUGAAAGUGCUAAAGUUUAGCACCUUUAUACAUUAGCCUAUCCAAAUAGGGAGGUUAAUGGGGAGGGCUGAAUUUUAGUCCACCUCUAAAAAAUGCAAAAGCAUUAGCUCAUGGUAACGAGCUAAUGGGUGCUAAUAGGCACUUGGAACUUAUACUCCUGCCUCAACCUUAUCCAUCCCACGAUUCGUCUCCUCCCUUAUUGAUGCCGCCGAUGGUGUGGCGCCCUUCGUCCUCCCCUCGCACACACCAACGUCACUUGCUUCUCCCCGCCUUUAUUCGCGUCGCAGUGCCCUCCCUCUUCCCCUCACGAGCCACUGCUGUCGCUUGCUCCCCCGCCCACCGCCGCUUCUCUCGCUAUCCCCGGCCGUUCGCGCUCGAUCUACGACUCCGCUGUCCCUCCCCCGCUCCCGCGCUCCACUCCACCGCCGUCUUGCCUAGUUCGCCGUCGUCGGAGAUGGAAAAAAGCACGGGAAGGGACCAGGGAGGCAAAAGCAGGGGCAAAAAAGGACUUUCCUCAAUAAGCUAACUUUACAUUAACACUGGAUCCAGCGUCUCUACCCAUUAGCCAGCUAAAGUUUAGCACUAGGCCUGUUUUCUUCCACUUGCUAAACUUUAGCACCCGUCACAUCAAAUGUUUAGAUACUAAUUAGAAGUAUUAAACGUAGACUAUUUACAAAACCCAUUACAUAAGACGAAUCUAAACGGCGAGACGAAUCUAUUAAGCCUAAUUAGUCCAUGAUUUGACAAUGUGUUGCUACAGUAAAUAUUUGCUAAUGAUAGAUUAAUUAGGCUUAAUAGAUUCGUCUCGCUGUUUAGAUUCCACCUAUGUAAUUGGUUUUGUACAUAGUCUACGUUUACUACUCCUAAUUAGUAUCUAAACAUUCGAUGUGACACGUGCUAAAAAUAAGACACGGGAAGAAAACGCCCCCUUAGACUUUUUUAACAUAGUCUGACAAGGAAAAAAAACGAGUAGCAUCAGAGACCGGCAGGCCUCCCCUACCUAUAGUCCUGUUCGUACUUCACCUGCACAAGAAUACGGUAGCGCAAUCAUUUCCCGGCGGACAUUUCACAAGAAGAACACUGAACACAUACACAGGAGAGAUGUUCACUUCGGGUUCUCCUCUCCCAAAAUAUUUGUCUCUGGUUUCUGCUUUCUGCUCUACUCCGUACACCCUACUCCUACACAGUACUCUCUCUCUCUCUCUCUCUCUCUCUCUCUCUCACGAGAGCAUAUCAGUGUGCAGAGAUACGAGUAGCAGCCAGCAGGAGCAACACAGUUUGCAGUGUUUCAAAAGUCGUCCUUUCGAAAUGGGACUGAUCAGAGCCAGCAGGAGUAACCGGUUCUCAGUGCUCCCUCUUAUCUCUACAUUUUGAUUCUUCCUAUUGAUUAAUUUAAUCUGGACUUUUUUAGGGAAAUUUGGAAAUGGAAGUUUAGUGGAAGCGAACAAUCUCUCAUCAGGGCACAUGAAAAAAAGCCCUACAUUUUCAUUCAUUUUUGUGUGGUUCUUCCUCCUUGACUCAGCUAUCAAAAGAGGACUACCUUUGGUUUUGAGAGGUACAUUUUAUUCUACCCACACGCAUGCAAUUCAUCACAUGAGAUAAUUCCACAAAUGGCCCCCUUCAUCAUGCCCUGUCUCGGUUCAGUGCUCCUCCUCUCCACACUCAGCAGUCGCCACUCAACUCUAGCCGCCCAUGCAUGAACAAAGAAAGCCAGCCAUCUCCUUCAGCUCGCUCGGUUUCUAGCAAAAGUCAAACGCAGCAAGCAUUCCACUUCCUGACAUGCAACUCGAUCUCUCUGCACCGGCACUAGCAGCAUUAAGGUUUCUUCCAUGAUAUCAUACUGCAACUUUGAUCUCAUUUUUGGCCAUGCAGAUUUCCUCCCUCUCUUAUUUAAUUCAGUUGGCAACUACUACUAGCAAACAGUCAUGUUUUCCCUCAGGUUGCAAGAGGGAUUAAACAAGUGGUAAAGCCUAAGAGCAUGUGUGCUAGUGCUGAGCUUAUCUUCUCUUAUCUCCUCCAUGCUUUCGCCCUCUUCUCAACCCCACAUGCUCCCUCUCAGAUGUCACAUUCUCUUGCCUUGAUCGUGUGCUAAAGUGAGCGACUCCAUCCAUUAUCUUUCCUGGGAAAAAAGGGAAAAGAAAAUCCCUACACCCAUUUGCAAAUUCAUCGACUGGGAGACUUGCUUCCGUUUGCCUUGCCUUCCCUCCCUGGCCUCUGCCCGUUCCAGUGCAGUGCCUCAUCCUCCCCUGAUGCUUUUCCUGCAGUGACGAACAAGAAAAAUUCAGGAGAGAAAGAGCAGAGAGAGAGAGAGUUGAAAGGGAGUCCACUUUCGGUCGCAGCGUCUGCACGGCGCUGCUGCGACCGAAUCACUUGCCUUUCUGCUCGCUCAGUCCUCUCUCAAAACCUUGUCCCAUCUGGCAAGCAGAAGCAGGCUUUCCUUUCUCCCUCCUUGCCUCCUUGGCCUUUCCGGUCUCUGCACUGCAGCCUCCUGCCUGCUCCUCGGGCGCAGCGUCCAGCUGGUGCUGUAGCUCCACCUCCACUGCUGCGAGGUCUCUGCCCUGUCACUCCUCGAGUCCUCGACCUCGCAGCAGCCUCCUCCCCUUCCUGUCACCUAUCCGGCCGCCCGUCCGUCCCCUAUCCCACCUAUAUAUGCCAGCUUGCUCUGCCUCCCUGAGCCAGUGUGUGUGCGCUGUGUGCUUCGUUUCAGCGACUUGACUGAACUGUUGGAGCACAGCGCAGCCUCGUGCACAGGGUAGACAGGAGGAGACGGGGAAGGGGGGCGAGGUUGUGAGGAGGGAGAUGGCUUGGAAUGGCGGCUUCGGCGACGACGAGGAGGGGAGGGGCCUGGAGCUCAGCCUGGGCCUCCCGGGCUACUUCUCCAGGUCGCCGUGCCAGGCCGCAGGUGCCGCCUCCUGCCUCUCUCUUCUUGCUCGUAUCAUUGUGCGGUUCUUUGCCUGAUCGGUGUGUGCUCUGUGUCGGUUUCAGGUUUGGAGGAGAAGGGAAGCGCCGGCUCUGCUGCUGCUGGUGCUGCUCGAGCCCCAAAGGGAAGCAAUGGUUCCAAGGCGAGGUAAUAACCGUUGAUGAACCUGUACCCUUUCUAUUCCUGAAAAGAAAUCCGAUCCGGAGAAAGGAUCUUGCUCCUUGAAGCAUUUGUGCCUGAAGCGCACAGUAAAAUUCUCAUCUUUGAUCGUUCAAAUAAAAAAAACUCAUCUUUGCAACUUGAUACGAUUCUCUGUUCAGAAAAUCAGAAGUUCCUGUUUUUUUUCCCCCUUUCUGUUUCUUCUGUUUUUAUGCCGCGACCAUUGUCUGAACUGCCUGAAUUCUGCAGGGCGGCGGCAGCUGCUCCGGUCGUCGGAUGGCCGCCGGUGCGCGCAUUCCGGCGGAACCUCGCCUCGUCGUCCUCCAAGCCGGCGUCCCACGAGCCAUCGAGCCAGAGGGGCAGUGACUCCACCACAGGCGCCGCCAAGGCCAUCGAGGCCGGCAAGAAGGGGCUGUUCGUCAAGAUCAACAUGGACGGCGUCCCCAUCGGCCGGAAGGUUGACCUCAGGGCGCACGCCGGCUACGACACGCUCUCCGCCGCCGUCGACCACCUCUUCCGCGGCCUCCUCGCCGGUACGUGCAUUCCGAUUCUCGAAAUCGAUCUGUGUGACUUACUUCUCUGAUCCUGGUGUUUGCCGGUGCAAGAAACCUCUGAACUUACGAUCUCUGAAUUCUCUGGCAGCUCAAACAUCAGGAGGGGAGCAGGAGGUGAUCACAGGGGUCUUGAACGGCAGCGGCGAGUACACACUGGUCUACGAGGACGAGGAGGGCGACCAGAUGCUAGUCGGAGACGUGCCGUGGGAGUGAGUUCAAUCUUCUCCUCCUCAUCUUCACAUGAUUUUCUUUUAAAUUGCAGCUGGGCAAGUGUCUUUCUGACUUUCAACUGACCAACGGCUUUGUUUUCAGGAUGUUCAUCGGCACCGCGAGGCGUCUGCGCGUGCUGAGGAGCUCCGACCUGAGCCCGUCCUCGGUCAGUCACCCCUGCCGCGCUGAAUCCAAUUCGUGCUACUAAAUUGUGGCCUGGAAAUGUUUUCCAGAUGUUGGUCUGAUCCUUUGCUUACCUGUUCUUGUUUUGCAGCUACGAGCAGCGAGCAGGAAGAGAGCAGCAGCUGAGUGCUGAACUCUGGUGCCUCUGAACAUGCUGCAGCUUUUGCUCUAGCCGUCUGUGUAAAUCUUCAAGCAGUUUCUUCGAUCUUAGUAGUCUGGUUACCAUGCUAUUAUCGAUUAGGGAAGCAAGAACCGAGAGUUGAUCGGUGUUGUUUAGAAUCAUGUCAGAACUUAUUUUGUACGGGAAGUUUGGCUGUGCUCAAGGGAGGUGUCUGUUCAUCAUCUUGUCUGAAAUUUUCAAAGAGGGGUGUCUCCUGGCACCUAUGCAGCACCGAUACAGAUACGCGUAUCAGCAUCGGCCUGAUACGGAUACGCGGAUACGCCACUUUUCUGCGAAAGUUAAAGGCACCCAGGCGUAUCUGAUACGGAUACAUGGAUAUGUAUCGGAUACGUAAUACGGGGUCAUGUUGAAGUAUCGGGGUAACAUAGCUUGGCACUGCAGCCAUGAGCUCGCUAGUACCCAUGCAAGCACACUGAUAUUGCUUGCUUUGGCUGCUUCAUGUUCGUUUCUGUUGAAUGCUGAUCGCUUAGUGCUUCAUUGGUUAACAAGAUGCUUAAGCUAGAGCACGCAGAGAAACCACACCGAGGGAAAAAAAAAACAGCACCUCCAAGACAGCAAGACAUAGUUGCCGUUGCCCAACACUACAUGAGUUCACCCCGGAAAAAGGCGCUAGCAGAGAUAUUCGUUCACUUCAUUCUCAUUUGCCUGAUUUCAAGCGAUGCAAGAAUUAAGCACAAGUCGUACUGUAAUAAGAUAUCAGGCACCUAAACAAGUGCAAUUGCAUUCCUCGCAAAAAAAAAGAGUUGCAAUUACAUCACGAGGAAUGAACACUGAUGCUGAACUGCACAGCAACUCUACUACUGUAUAUGCCUAAAAGAUCAUGUCUGAAUUCUAAGUUUAUUCCACAAGUAUGCAGUAUAUAUGAUUCUGAAUUAUACAAAAGAUGAGCUCUGAUCAGUCAUUGAAAUUGUUCGCGCAAUAACAGGCCGGCCAUUCCUCUGGACCAAAUAGGCCUUCCCCUAAAGCCCAUCGAUGGCCCCCAAAAAAAAUCUCCAAAACGAAAGCCCAGCACGAUAUUGGCGCCGCCGCCCGCCCUUCUUUCUUCUCCCCCAAUCCAACCCCAACCUCUCUGCUGGCUGCUGUGCUUCAACUCCAAUUCGGAUCCAAAAAACAAAAGAAAAAGGAAACAAAAAACAGAAGCGCGGGAAGGAGCUUCGCCGCUCGCCGCUGUCGCAUCGCCUCCAAACUCAAACCAUCAGGUGCGCGCGCAAUCGGACGCCCCUCUGUGUUCCCCACCCCUUCCAGUCUCUCCACGCCGCAAAUCGGGGCGGGAUUUCUAGGGUUUUUCCUUGAGAUGCGAUUUGUUUUCGUUUCCCCCCCGGUGAAGAACGCAUCUGCGGCUCGUUGAUCCCCGCCGCUUCGAUCUUUAGCGCGCGGCCCACUUGAUUGGCGUGGGGGAGUGACUAGCGCGAAGCCGGGUGAGAUUGGGAUGGAAGGAAGGAUAGGCUGGGGUUUUUUUUGGGGCUAAUCUGUUGGCGACCACCCCUGCCGAUUUGGCGUGAUCUUGAUCUGUCGUGGUGCCGUUGCGGUGCAGGAUGAUGGAUCUCCCGGCGAAGGGCGGGUUCAGCUUCGACCUGUGCCGGCGGAACGACUCUCUGGAGAAGAACGGGCUCAAGAUCCCCGGUUUCCUCAAGACUGGGACCACCAUCGUCGGCCUCGUCUUCCAGGUGCGGCCGCAUUCACUUUGCUGGUAUUCUGGAUUUAGUAGUGUGCCUUCUGCUGGUUUGAGCUACCUGUGUUUGAGAAUUUGAUAGGCAUGAACCUAUUACUGUCGGUUCUAAUGUUAGUUGGCUUGGAGAAUUAUUUUUGGGGCACUGAACAGCUCAAUUGAACUUUGGAAAAUCUCUGACAUUUUGUGUUAGCCUCCUUAUGCUGUUAUGCACAUACCCACAUUGUGGUAUGAUACGAGUUGGGAAAAUAUUCGGUGCAAACCACCUGCCUAGUGGAACUGUGCAAACCCCCAUCUCUUUUGUAAUGUUUGUUUCGUAGUCUUCUAGUUGUAUUAGCUCAGGGGGAAAGGUAUACAUACACAAAAAAAUACUACUGCAGAAAUACUCUGCAAAUGAUGCUCUGGCAAUAUCUAAUUGAAUAUUGAUUUGUGUUAACUUGUGUUUGGAUAAAUUUAAUGGAUGAUAGUUUUACCUUGACACUUUUGUAGCCCAGUGCUAAUGGAUGAAAGACAUCACAUUCAUGUAACCUGUUUGAACAGGCAUUGUUUCAUAUUGCUGUAUUGAGGUUAACAUGGACUAAACCAUAUUUUGAUAUCUAGGAUGGGGUUGUGCUUGGGGCAGACACAAGGGCAACUGAGGGGCCUAUAGUUGCUGAUAAGAAUUGUGAGAAAAUCCACUUUAUGGCGCCAAACAUAUAUUGCUGUGGAGCAGGAACUGCUGCUGACACAGAGGCUGUUACAGGUAAAUGACUAAAAAGACUGGCAUUCUGCCUUUUCCAACUCCCUUUUUUCCCCUUGAAUUCCUUCUGGCAUGUUGCUUCUUUACUUCAGAUAUGGUGAGCUCCCAGCUGCAACUUCACCGAUACGCAACUGGUCGUGAAUCAAGAGUUGUGACUUCUCUUACACUGCUGAAGUCACACCUUUUCAAGUGAGCUCCAAUUUCGCAGGCACAUUUACAACUUUCUGUCAUCCUGUCAACAGCUGACCUGCUUGCACCAUUAUGUUUAGGUAUCAAGGUCAUGUCAGUGCUGCUCUUGUUCUUGGUGGAGUGGAUUGUACUGGGCCACAUCUACACACUGUGAGUAACUGAGUAUCACUGUUUGUUGCUUAUUGUAAUAAAGUUGGGGUGUUUAAAUUAACUUUGGAAAGUGCAGGUUUAUCCGCAUGGCUCCACAGAUACUCUUCCUUUUGCCACGAUGGGUUCUGGAUCGCUCGCUGCAAUGUCGGUGUUUGAAUCGAAGUACAAAGAAGGGCUUACAGUAAGUGAACCCAUGCAACAGUUGCUGGAUUUAACUAUGUUGACAAUAUAGUAUUUUUUCUGUGGUGACUGAAAUCGCAUUUGAUUGUGCUUUUCUAAUUAACGAAACUAUAUUAAUAUUAUAGUAGUUUAUUGUUUUAUGUUUGCAUUGACUAAUUCCCUUUUAUCUUCUAGAGGGAGGAGGGAAUACAACUUGUAUGCGAUGCAAUCCGUGGCGGUAUCUUCAAUGACUUGGGUAGUGGCAGCAACGUGGAUGUCUGUGUGAUAACUAAGGUAUGCAUUACAUUUUCUGUUUCAUUGACUCAAAUGCUGAAACACUGCAAAUUUGAAAAAAAUAUCAAAACAUAAUUUACUGUUUACUUAUUAGAGGAUGAGCUUUCAAACUAUCUUUACGGCAUUGUAUUUUCUACUUUGAUUUGAUAUAUCGCUUGCACAUGGUUUGAUUCACACCUCUUCUGAUCAUCAAUUUCCGAUAAUGCUCAUUUGAGUAAAACUAUAACACUGCAUUGUGCAUGCUACCAUAUGCCACAGAUGCCUUUUGAGCAAAUCAAAGAACAUGAAAUAUUUCCUGUUAACCCUUCAAAAUGCUUUGCUGACCAAACCCUAUUGACAAUACCAGGGGAAGACAGAAUACUUGAGAAACCACCAGUUGCCGAAUCCAAGAACUUAUGUUAGUUCGAAGGGAUACAGCUUCACCAAGGGGCAGACUGGUGAGUUCCUUGCUGAUGAAUGGUACAGAAUAUAUGACAUCUGAACAGUAUAAAGUUACGCAUAAUUAUAUUCGUUUGCAGAGGUACUGUCCACAAAGAUCACACAGCUGAAACAGAAGGUUGAGGUCGCUGAGGGCAGCGACGCAAUGGAGGAGUGAUCUUGCAUGUUACGUUCGGACAAGUGGUCAUACUCAUAAAUUUACGUUAUCUUUCUUAGUGGGACUGCUAGAACCAGAAAAGAAUGGAUAUCCUUGCUGUAUUUUCUGGACUGAAUCCAGACUUUUUAUGCUAAAGGUGUUUCAGAUGUUGACAUAUUUACAAGUGCUUGUUGACUCUGAAUGUAGCAUUGUUUAAAACUGUGAUGGUUUGGACGUAUGGUGUUUUCUUUCAGUCGGUUAUUACUGCUGCUGCGCUGCAUCUAUUGUUAGGUUCACGAUGAGGGAAAGGUUGGUGCUGCAAGCAUAUUUGGCCCUGAGCCCCUGAACUUGAUUGUAUUAAGAGGACACUACAAAAAUCAUGAUUGAUGUAGUGGUUUCACUAUUUGGCCCUGAGCCCCUGAAUUGUUCAUAUAACUUUGAAUGUUAUCUACUGAAUGGAAAAAUUGAACAAGUAAUCAGUUGAAAUUAAUUGCUUUAUGACUAUGGUCACGCAGUAUCCAACAUCAUCAAAUCAAGCAUCACGCAGAAGUGCAGGAUGUGCUGCUGUUUUUUUGCAGCUUUGGGGCUCCGCUGUGAGCAAAGGGGAAAAAAAAUGGUAACUGAAAAGAAAAAGGAGCUUGUCAGACAACCUGUGAGCCACCCCAGCCAGGCGGGCCCAGCCGAGAACGAUCCUCCACAGCUCCAGACAGGGCUUCACCGCCCAAAUUCCUAGCCGUUAAUCACGCUCUGGCCCACAGGGCCUGUGUCAUCAACCAAGCUUAAGUGCUUGCCUCCUUAUUAGUCAAGGAUGCAGCGGUACGAUCCUAUAGAACAGAUCCUGUUCAAGUAAGGUCGUGCUGCAUCCCGCG